GGGCUGCUAACUGAGAACAGUAGAUCAUGCAGAUGGACAGCGAUCAGGUGACUUGCUCUAUCUGACGUCCAUUGUAUAUCCAACACAGGGGAUUGGCAACAAAAUUUCUUGGUAGAAACACAGGGCAACGGUUCGAACGGGCUUGGCGAGCUCGUUCUCUCACAUGACGCAUCGCCGAGGAGAGCAGUGCUGCGGGACUGCCGUGGAGGACUAGCAAUGUCAAGAUAGAGGAAGGAGUGUCAGCACUGCCGCAGGUUCCUUUCCGAUUAUCUCGCGGACCGCUCGAUACCAUCAUAAGUCAGUAGUAAGCUUUCUGAUUGUAAGGCUGGAAGAUUGUUUUUUCAGUUCUUUGCAAUCGUUAGUGCUGUGUAAAUGGUUAGUGCAUCUACAAUUCAACUGAUUCUGAAUUUUAAUGCUAGUGGUAAAUAGUUUCUGUUCUGAAUGGUUCUGAAUUUCAUUGACAAGUGUUAUUUGAUUAUUUGGUUUUUGCUUGUUUAAUCUCUUCCCGCAUGACAUGUGGAUUAGGAAGAUACUUACUUGUUAUGACACCGGCCACUCCUGGAAUCUGCACUUGCCGGCCUNNNNNNNNNNNNNNNNNNNNNNNNNNNNNNNNNNNNNNNNNNNNNNNNNNNNNNNNNNNNNNNNNNNNNNNNNNNNNNNNNNNNNNNNNNNNNNNNNNNNNNNNNNNNNNNNNNNNNNNNNNNNNNNNNNNNNNNNNNNNNNNNNNNNNNNNNNNNNNNNNNNNNNNNNNNNNNNNNNNNNNNNNNNNNNNNNNNNNNNNNNNNNNNNNNNNNNNNNNNNNNNNNNNNNNNNNNNNNNNNNNNNNNNNNNNNNNNNNNNNNNCUAUUUUUUUUUUUUUUUUUUACAAAAUCGUCAGUGUAUGAAUUUGAUGAUGCAAAGGGUGGAACUUCAAGAUCUACUUUCAUGGUUCAGUCUGCAUUUGUCGAAUCGAUCCCUGGGCCUAGAUCUCAAGGAGUAUCUUGACACCGCACAAUGAGCAUGGAAUCAGUGGGGGAAGUUCAUGAGCCCUAGAGUGCUGCGAGGUGGAAGACGAAGACGCCAUGGAUGGAUUGAGUUGUUGUGCUACUGCUGGAAAUUCUCCGGAUGGGAACGAGGAGUGGGUGGGAGUUGGGCAUUUAUUGCGGUGUGGAGAGUGGCCUGAUUCCCGCCGUACAGCUCCAAGCGCAAACGACAAAGCACAUGAACGUGGUCGCUCCGUCCGUCUGAACCAACGCCAUGGUACAUGACAGUUGCCGCCAUCUGUACCGUCUGUACCGUCUUUCGUCUGGCUAACGUCGUUACUUAUUUAAAUGCAUUAGUGGAUAUUCUAUAUGGUCCAGUACGGUACAGAAUACUCGCAUACGUGCGGACCAUCGACGGGUCGAGAUUCCGGGAUCAUCUGGACCUGGGAGCCGAAUUGCUUUUUCGUGACAAAUCUAUAUGAUGUGAAAAACAUAUAUACAAUGAUGAAUCCAUUGAUAUUGAUUUGGCUUCAGGCUUUGAGUAGCGCGUGUUUUUGUUUGUCAAGUUGAUCGUAGUAGAAUGCUUCGCACGUGGUAGAACGUGUGUUCGGUUUCGUUUGUGGAUGCAUCAUACUAUCAGUUUUACUGUCCGUAUGUUUACGUACGCAUGUGUUUAGGGGCCGGGCAAGUAAUUUGUUCGCCGCGAAUUAACAUAUAAUUGGAUGUUUAGAGGGACAAUGAUAUUUCUAAUCCAUCCGAGUUUAAAUCCUGAUGCUCGAUUAUUUUAGAAUUUUCGGUGAUGCGUUUUCAGUGGGAGUAUACGUUCCCGCCGCCGACGAGACGCCUACGGGGACUUUAUAAAUCUCAAGGUGAUAUGCCGCCUCAAUCUCUCGAAGGUGUUCAUAGAGGUGUGUGUGCGCGUUCAUAAGCGUUCAUAAGGGUGUUCUUCUUCUUCUUCUUCUUCUUCUUCUUUUUUUGCUUCAACCGACUAUGUUUUUUUGCUACUACCGGCUUCGUUUUUUGCUACGACCGAGACUGGCGAGUGUGGUGACCAUGGCCGGCGAGGAUGGGAGGCACUGCUCCAAGCAACAAUCGACUCAAGGAGAUUUUGCUACAUGCUACAACCGGCGUUGCAAAUUGCUACUACGGUGUCCCAUCCGGCUACUACUGCCGCCGCGGUUUGCCGCAUUGCAAAAUAGCAUGUAUUUUUUUCUGGAAACGACGCUUUAACUUGUUGGAACGAGCCGAGCAAUUUGUUGCAAUGGUGAGGUGCGAACGACGAGAUGGAGACCGACGGGCAUGAAGCAGCGGUGAGUGCACCGACGAGGAGCUGUCGUCGCCACCAGUGCUACAGCCGUCGCCACGGGAAGCUGCAACCGUAGGCGCAGUUGUUGCAUUGGCAGAGACUGGAGACGGGGAUGGCCGCCGAGGGCAGCGAGCACGGGGUGGCUCGGGGUGACUGGCUAGCACAUGUGGCCGAGGACGAGGGUGCAGUGGCCGGGGGCGAGCACGGCGGCCAUGUUUUUCCCUGGAGUCUCCCUCAUAUAGGAGGUGUACACGAGCAUGACGAAGAAAGAUAGGUCGGCCGAAAUUUGGGUCGGUGCAUCGACGCCUAUCACUGCCCUAUUUUUAAUGUGCAACCGGGUCUCGAUGCACAUGUAGGGCGUGUUUGGUUGCCGUCGGCUACAGUACCUGCGUUGCAUACCCUUCUCCACUCAGCUUGGCUCUGAAAAAACAGUCUCAUAUGCGACAUUUGCAAGUUGUUUGGUUGCCUGCAUAUGGACUUUCUGCAUUAGGGGAUCAACUUUGGCACGUUGUUUGGUUGCCUGCACUGUCUUGACGCAUACAACUACACGUUGUUUGGGUGGUUGCCCGCAUGGGGUAUGAUUAAGAGCUAGCCCUUGCACUUAGCACACAUGGUUAAGAGCUAGCAAAGGAAGGGGGAGAAGAAAUGCAGUGUGCGUCAGACCAUGGCGAUUGCGGUGGAUAGUGGUCGUGGCGCCAUGUCCGACAUGACGAGCAUGGAGUCAUGGGCGAGCGACCCCGUCGGCGGCACGACGAGCGACACCGUCGGCGAACUAGUUGCGGUGCUUGUGCAAAGACAGUCGACGGAGGAGGAGAAUGCAGUGCUCGCGCCAUGGUAUCGCCAAUGCAGUGGACGAGAGAGGAGGCCGAGAUGAUCGACGCUGGAAACGACUCCAGUGUAGUAGGGCGAGAGAGAGGAGGCCAAGAGGAGGCCAAGAUGAUCGACCCCGUCGGCGGCGCGGCGAACUGCAGUGUGCGCGCCAUUGCAGCGUCAGUGCAGUAGGAGGACGACAGAGAGUAGGCCGAGAUGCGUGACACCCGGAAACGACUCUUGUGUAGUAGGGCGUGGGCAAGGAGAUCAAGGGGAAGGGCUUCAGCGUCGAGAGAGACGAAUAGGAGGGCUCUGAGCAGAGGACAGAGGAGCUCGACAUGGCGGCGUCAGUGCAGUAGACUGUUGUUCAAGGAGAGAUGAAGCUACGAUCGUCGACACCAAAAACUUACAACACGAAUGUUGUGCGGAACUGCGAGAUUAUGCUGCUGGUCAAAGAAAAUUUCAAACGAUCGAUCGUGCGCGACGAAUCUGACAAAAUUCGUCCAGAACAGCUCCAAACGAGAACACGAAAUAAAGAACUUCCAGCCAACAAAACUACGAACCGAUUGCCUGAAUAGAACCGUAGCAUCGAGGUGCAUCUUUUUCGUGUAGAGCUUACCUCGAAUCGAAGCAUCGUUGUGUAGAUCAAAGGGACAAGGAAGAGAGGAGAUUAGAGACAAGCUUACUUGAGGUUGAAGAAGACCUCAGGUAAUCACCUCACAUCCCUCCCAUCUCCACUCCUGCAAGGGCCCGCUCGCUUGCGCUCGCCUCGGCCUGACUCGUGAGAAACUGCCGAUUCGAGCAUUUUCAGCGAGCCAGCCUCUAGGCUGCUUUAAGAAGCGUGCGAUGAAGGUCCAAUAAUGUAUACAGGUAACCAAAUAGGCCGAAUUCUUUCCGCGCGGAUCUGGUUGAGCCUUAUGCAGGCAACCAAACACGUCCGGAGCCUUCAGUGGGGUGUGGCUCUGUGCCGCCUAGUGCGAGGCCGCCUGCUUCGUGGCUGAAGCUUUUUCUAAGACAAUCGUGGCAGUGGCUCGCGUCGUCCCGAAGGGAGCAUGCUGUGGGCCGACGCAGUAGCAAUGUGGGUUGUAAUGCCGAUGUUACUUUAGUUUUCUUUAUUCUUUUAUUUUAAAUGCACAUAUUUCCGAAAAGUUACUUAAGAAAAUAAAAAACAAGUUUUUGAAAAACUGUUAACAUGUAUAAAUAGAAAUUGUUAGAAAGUUUUUAGCAAUGUUGAUAACUUUCAGAAUAGUGUUCUUGACAAUGAUUUUUUUUCCUGGUGUUUCACAAAAAGUAUAUAAAGUUUAAAAAAUAAUUUUACAAUAUAAAAUAAUAAUUCAUACAAUUAAAAAAUGUAUGUGACAAUUUACUGAAAUAUUCCCGCGUUUCAACUAAAUGUUCAUGAAAAUUGUAUACGUUCAAACAAUUGUUUAUUUCCAUUCAAAAAUGUACCUGGCAUUUUAACAAAAUAUGCACGUGCUUCCGAGAAUUAUUCUUGACAAUGCAAAGAUGUUCUAGUGUAUCAAAAAAUGUAUGAUUUUUUUAAAUGUUUGUACAAUGUAAAAAAAAUCGUACCAAUAAAAAAAUGUAGAUACAUUUUAUAGUAAUAUUACCGCAUUUCAAAAAAAAAAUGUUCGUGACAUUUAAAAAAAUGUUAUAUACAGUGUAAAAAAAUGUCCGCAUAGGUUCAGAACAUUGUUUAUUUCCAUUCAAGAAAAUGUAUCUGACAUUUUAAAGAAAUAUUCACGUGUUUCCACAAAAUGUUCUUGACAAUGAAAAUAUGCUCCGGUAAAAUGUAUCCAAUUUUUUAAAAUGUUUUUACAAUUUAAAUGUAUUCCGUAACAUUAAAAAAAAUGUAGGUGACAUUUUAUGGAAAUAUUACCACAUUCUAAAAAAUGUUUGUGACAUCUAUAAUACCUGAAUAGUUCAUCUCCAUUAUCAUAUUUCUCUUAUGCAACCUAUCCACAUUACCACAUAUGACCCACACAUGCCAUCUCGGAAAAUUAGCUCCAACACCACCAAAUUUUCAUUCAUUUUGGUGAUGCCACACACAUUAUUCUUUUUUUUCAUACGAAGACCUUUUUCUACCGCGUCGCUUCGUUAUUUUCUUGUCCAAAUGCUCACGUAUAUUUCCCAUUGAAGGCCCAUCAAACGGCUUGCUGACCCCUAAAAAAACAUCUUGCUGUUCUCUUUUUUUUAUUCUCCACAAGAGUGUUUUCUCCCGACGAUUCCUAUGGACCGUCCCCUCAAUAACUCCAACAUCUAAUUAUUUCCACCGCUUCCAUCUUCUUCUCCACCAAAUCUCCAUCCUCUUCAUCUACUCCACUAUUUCUUUUGUAAAAGAAACCAACGGAUUUAUGAUAUCCUCUUCAUCUUCUUUCACCGAAAAGAUAAUAAGUUGCUCUCGAAAGAUGUCAUAUUUUUUCCUUGAAGCCUCUACUGCCAUCUGUCGUCGAGCAGCGAUAGUUUGUUAGCACCCCAUGGGUUUACCACCAACUGUUGGACGAGGAGAAUGUAGAGGAGGCGUCAACACCAACCUCCCGAGCAUUGGCAAAGCGUUGUGGGAGGUGGUGCGCUGCGACCCCAAUACCGGUAAGUCCAUCUUUAUUGUUGUCCCUGCCUUGCCGACCCCACAUCAUGCCCCCAGCCGCCUCACAAGGAUCUCUUUUUGGAAUACCGGCACUCAAAGCAAGUUGAUUGUUGGAUGGUACCUUUGUUAUACCUAAACCAUGUUAGUUACUCACCUUUGAGAACUCCCUUUUUCAUCUUCUGUUGAUUAACAUAAAAGGUUGAACGCUUACUUGAAUUGCUAUUGUCAAAAUUUAUAAAAAUCAAGAAGCUAACAUUCUUAUUUCAUAUGAAAAUUGCAGUUCUCUCACACUUUCGAAUGAAAAAAGUUUUACAUCUUUCUUAGAUUUUACCUUUGUAAAUGUCAUGUAAUUAUCUGCUUGCUACCUACAAAUUUUGUGGACUCACUAUUCCUCGACGCCCCCUUUAUUACCCCAUAGCAUAUUACUAUACAAUGCAGUGUCAAAUAAUAAAGUUGACACAAUGAGAUAAUUAAGAUAAUCUCCUGGUGAUCAAAGCAAAGUUAAUCAAGUAGGUUGACAAAUACUUUGUCCAUAUAGUUUAAGAAAACCUACUCUACUAACAAUUGAUAAAUUACUCUUUGUUGUCACAUUGUUCUUCUUGAUUCUCAAUACCAGUUUGGCAUUUUCUUCUUUCUUUUACAAGAAAAGCCUUAAGGUCCAGCAACGCGCGGGGUCUAAUCUAAUUUUAUAAAAUGAUUAUGCACAGUGUAAAAAAAGUUAGCAUAGGUUCAAAAAAUAUUUAUUUCCACUGAUAAAAUGUAUGUGACAUUUCAUAGAAAUAUUCGUGUGUUUUCAAAAAAUGUUCCGGUGUUUCAAAAAUGUAUGCAAAUUUAUUAAAAAUGUUUAUAUAUUAUAAAAAAAUCUUACAAUGAAAAAAGUAGGUGACAUUUUACAGAAAAAAUCCCAAGCUCCAAAAAACACGUUUGUGGCAUUUUAGAAAACAAUUAUAUACAGUGUAAAAAAUGUCGGCAUAGGUUCAAAAAACAAAAAAAAAAUGUAUUCAAAAACUUUACACACACACACACAGGACGAAAUCACUGUUUUGACCUUGUCAACGUUUAUGGUCACAAACUGAACCCGACGUGAAAGUAUUUCAUGAUUUGACCCUUUUAGAAACGCCAGGGCCUGCGGCGUUUCUGAUGAACAUGGAAACGCCGACCAAGCUAGCGUUUCUUACCUGGCCCACUGCCAGGCCGAGUUGGCGUUGCAAGCUGACGUGGCGGGUUUGAAACACCGAGCCAGCUAGCGUUUCUAGAAACGCCAGCACCAAUGGCAUUUCUGGUGCAGAUAUUUUAGGUGGUCGUGCGGCUUGCACCCACCACUCACCACUCAAUCUCUUCUCCCCCAUUGGCCUAUCCCGAGCUCUUGCCCUUUUCCCCCUUUGUGUCCCUCACUUAGCCCCUCUCAAAUCCUUGCAAAUCGAUUGGGUUGGUCCGUGGAUCCGGUGUCAUUUUCGUUCGUUGAGGUAACCUCCUUCAUCUCACAAAUUUUUAUUGGUUGGAUUUGCCCAUUUGGAUUGAUUUGUUCUUGUUGGUCCUAACCCUAGUUUUGAACAUGGAUGUAUAAUGUGAUGUUUUUAGUAUUGUUGUUCCAAUGAUGUUGCAUUGUGAUGUUGUUGAGCAUACCUUAUUGUUUGGUUUAUGACUAAUGUUAAGAUUUAGGGUUAGGGUUAUGCCUAAUGUUAAGAUUUAGGGUUAGAGUUAGUGGUUUUGUUAGCAAUGUGGUAUAUUUAGCAUUGUACAUUUUUAUACUUAUGUUCCCCUUUUUUAGAUGGACAAGAUUGUGAAUAUUCAUUAUGUUGACAAAGAGGCAUUCAUGAAUGUGGAUAUUGUUGACAAGUAUGAGGAAGUAUUGAUAUUUCUUGAGACUCCUAGUUAUGAAGAGGUUGUGGAAGAAACACGGAUAAGAUUAAAAUGGGUGGAUGCAAGUGACCAAGUUGAAUUAGUAGGAAGAUAUUGAAGGAAAUAUGCCCUAGAGGCAAUAAUAAAGUUAUUAUUUAUUUCCUCAUAUCAUGAUAAAUGUUUAUUAUUCAUGCUAGAAUUGUAUUAACCGGAAACAUGAUACAUGUGUGAAUACAUAGACAAACAUAUAGUCACUAGUAUGCCUCUACUUGACUAGCUCAUUAAUCAAAGAUGGUUAUGUUUCCUAACCAUAGACAUGUGUUGUCAUUUGAUUAAUGGGAUCACAUCAUUAGGAGAAUGAUGUGAUUGACAUGACCCAUUCCGUUAGCCUAGCACUUGAUCGUUUAGUAUAUUGCUAUUGCUUUCUUCAUGACUUAUACAUGUUCCUGUAACUAUGAGAUUAUGCAACUCCCGUUUACCGGAGGAACACUUUGGGUGCUACCAAACGUCACAACGUAACUGGGUGAUUAUAAAGGAGUACUACUGGUGUCUCCAAAGGUACAUGUUGGGUUGGCGUAUUUCGAGAUUAGGUUUUGUCACUCUGAUUGUCGGAGAGGUAUCUCUGGGCCCUCUCGGUAAUGCACAUCACUAUAAGCCUUGCAAGCAAUGUAGCUAAUAAGUUAGUUACGGAAUGAUGCGUUACGUAACGAGUAAAGAGACUUGCCGGUAACGAGAUUGAACUAGGUAUUGGAUACCGACGAUCGAAUCUCGGGAAAGUAACAUACCAAUGACAAAGGGAACAACGUAUGUUGUUAUGCGGUUUGACCAAUAAAGAUCUUCGUAGAAUAUGUAGGAGCCAAUAUGGGCAUCCAGGUUCCGCUAUUGGUUAUUGACCAAGAAUAGUUCUAGGUCAUGUCUACAUAGUUCUCGAACCCGUAGGGUCCGCACGCUUAACGUUACGAUGACAGUUUUAUUAUGAGUUUAUAAGUUUUGAUGUACCGAAGUUUGUUCGGAGUCCCGGAUGUGAUCACGGACAUUACGAGGAGUCUCGAAAUGGUCGAGACAUAAAGAUUGAUAUAUUGGAAGCCUAUGUUUGGACAUCGGAAGUGUUCCGGGUGAAAUCGGCAUUUUACCGGAGUACCGGGAGGUUACCGGAACCCCUCGGUAACCUAAUGGACCUUAGUCGGCCUAGUGGAGGAAGAGGAGAAGGGGCCAAGGGGCAGCCGCGCACCCCUCCCCCCAAGUCCGAAUAGGACAAGGAGGGGGGCGGCGCCCCCCCCUUUCCUUUCCCCCGUCUCCUCCUUCCCCCCAAGUCCUAGUCCAACUAGGGAAGGGGGGGGGGAGUCCUACUCCCGGUGAGAGUAGGACUCCUCCGGCGCGCCUCCUCCUAGGGCCGGCCGCACCCCCCUUGCUCCUUUAUAUAUAAGGGGGCAGGGGGGCACCCUAGAAACACAAGUUGAUCUACGGAUCGUUCCUUAGCCGUGUGCGGUGCCCCCUCCACCAUAUUCGACCUCGGUCAUAUCGUCGCAGUGUUUAGGCGAAGCCCUGCGCCGGUAGAGCAUCAUCAUCGUCACCAUGCCGUCGUGCUGACAGAACUCAUCCCCGACACUUUGCUGGAUCGGAGUCCGGGGAUCGUCAUCGAGAUGAACGUGUGCUGAACUCGGAGGUGCCGUACGUUCGGUACUUGGAUCGGUCAGAUCGUGAAGACGUACGACUACAUCAACCGCGUUGUCAUAACGCUUCUUCUUACGGUCUACGAGGGUAUGUGGACAUUACUCUCCCCUCUCGUUGCUAUGCCAUCACCAUGAUCUUGCGUGUGCGUAGGAAAUUUUUUGAAAUUACUACGUUCCCCAACAGUGGCAUCCGAGCCUGGUUUUAUGCGUAGAUGUCAUAUGCAUGAGUAGAACACAAGUGAGUUGCGGGCGAUACAAGUCAUACUGCUUACCAACAAGUCAUACUUUGGCUCAGCGGUAUUGUGAGAUGAAGCGGCCCGGACCGACAUUACGCGUACGCUUACGCGAGACUGGUUUCACCGUUACGAGCACUCGUGCUUAAAGGUGACUGGCGGGUGUCUGUCUCUCUCACUUUAGCUGAACCGAGUGUGGCUACGCCCAGUCCUUGCGAAGGUUAAAACAACAUUAACUUGACAAACUAUCGUUGUGGUUUUGAUGCGUAGGUAAGAAUGGUUCUUGCUAAAGCCCGUAGCAGCCACGUAAAAUUUGCAACAACAAAGUAGAGGACGUCUAACUUGUUUUUGCAAGGCAUGUUGUGAUGUGAUAUGGUCAAGACGUGAUGCUAUAUUUUAUUGUAUGAGAUGAUCAUGUUUUGUAACCGAAGUUAUCGGCAACUGGCAGGAGCCAUAUGGUUGUCGCUUUAUUGUAUGAAAUGCAAAUGCCUUGUAAUUGCUUUACUUUAUCACUAAGCGGUAGCGAUAGUCGUAGAAGCAAUAGAUGGCGUAACGACAACGAUGCUACGAUGGAGAUCAAGGUGUCGCGGCGGUGAUGAUGGUGAUCAUGACGGUGCUUUGAAGAUGGAGAUCACAAGCACAAGAUGAUGAUGGCCAUAUCAUAUCACUUAUAUUGAUUGCAUGUGAUGUUUAUCCUUUAUGCAUCUUAUCUUGCUUUGAUUGACGGUAGCAUUUUAAGAUGAUGUCUCACUAAAUUAUCAAGAAGUGUUCUCCCUGAGUAUGCACCGUUGCGAAAGUUCUUCGUGCUGAGACACCACGUGAUGAUUGGGUGUGAUAGGCUCUACGUUCAAAUACAACGGGUGCAAAACAGUUGCACACGCGGAAUACUCAGGUUAAACUUGACGAGCCUAGCAUAUAACAGAUAUGGCCUCGGAACACGGAGACCGAAAGGUCGAGCGUGAAUCAUAUAGUAGAUAUGAUCAACAUAUUGAUGUUCACUGUUGAAACUACUCCAUCUCACGUGACGAUCGAACAUGGUGUAGUUGAUAUGGAUCACGUAAUCACUUAGAGGAUUAGAGGGAUGUCUAUCUAAGUGGGAGUUCUUAAGUAAUAUGAUUAAUUGAACUUAAAUUUAUCAUGAACUUAGUCCUGGUAGUAUUUUGCAAAUUAUGUUGUAGAUCAAUAGCUUGCAUUGUUGCUUUCAUAUGUUUAUUUUGAUAUGUUCCUAGAGAAAAUUGUGUUGAAAGAUGUUGGUAGCAAUGAUGCGGAUUGGAUCCAUGAUCUGAGGUUUAUCCUCAUUGCUGCACAGAAGAAUUAUGUACUUAAUGCACCACUAGAUGACAGACCUAUUGCAGGAGCAAAUGCAGAUGUUAUGAACGUUUGGCUAGCUCAAUAUGAUGACUACUUGAUAGUUUAGUGCACCAUGCUUAACGGCUUAGAAUCGGGACUUCAAAGACGUUUUGAACGUCAUGGACCAUAUGAGAUGUUCCAGGAGUUGAAGUUAAUAUUUCAAGCAAAUACCCGAGUUGAGAGAUAUGAAGUCUCCAACAAGUUCUAUGGCUAAAAGAUGGAGGAGAAUCGCUCAACUAGUGAGCAUGUGCUCAGAUUGUCUGGGUACUACAAUCGCUUGAAUCAAAUGGGAGUUAAUCUUCUAGAUAAGAUAGUGAUUGACAGAGUUCUGUAGUCACCAUCACCAAGUUAGUAGAACUUUGUGAUGAACUACAGUAUGCAAGGGAUGACGAAAACGAUUCCCGAGCUCUUCGUGAUGUUGAAAUCGACGAAGGUAGAAAUCAAGAAAGAGCAUCAAGUAUUGAUGGUUGACAAGAUCACUAGUUUCAAGAAAAGGGCAAAGGGAAAGAAAGGGAAACUUCAAGUAGAAUGACAAGCAAGUUGUCACUCCCGCGAAUAAGCCCAAAACUGGACCAAAGCCUGAAACUGAAUGAUUAUACUGCAAAGGAAAUGGUCACUGGAAGUGGAAAUGCCCUGAAUAUUUGGUGGAUAAGAAGGAUGGCAAAGUGAACAAGGGUAUAUUUGAUAUACAGGUUAUUGAUGUGUACCUUACUAGUGUUUAUAGUAGCCCCUGAGUAUUUGAUACUUGUUCGGUUGCUAAAUAUUAGUAACUCGAAACAGGAGUUACAGAAUAAACAGAGACUAGUUGAAGGGGAAGUGACGAUGAGUGUUGGAAGUGGUUCCAAGAUUGAUAUGAUCAUCAUCGCACACUCCCUAUACUUUCGGGAUUAGUGUUAAACCUAAAUAAAUGUUAUUUGGCGUUUGCGUUGAGCAUGAAUAUGAUUUGAUCAUGUUUAUUGCGAUACGGUUAUUCAUUUAAAGUCAAAGAAUAAUUUUUGUUCUGUUCACAUGAAUAAAACCGUCGAUGGUCAUACACCAAACAAAAAUAGUUUGUUGGAUCUCGAUCGUAGUGAUACACAUAUUCAUAAUAUUAAUGCCAAAAGAUGCAAAGUUAAGAAUGAUAGUGCAACUUAUUUGUGGCACUGCCGUUUGGGUCAUAUCGGUGUAAAGCGCAUGAAGAAACUCCAUAAAGAUGGAUUUUCGGAAUCACUUGGUUAUGAAUCAUUUGAUGCUUGCGAACCGUGCCUUUUGGGAAAGAUGACUAAAACUCCGUUCUUCGAAACAAUGGAACGAGCUACUAACUUAUUGGAAAUAAUACAUACCGAUGUAUGUGAUCCGAUGAGUGUUAAGGCUCGUGGCAAGUAUCAUUAUUUUCUAACCUUCACAGAUGAUUUGAGCAGAUAUGGGUAUAUCUACUUGAUGAAACAUAAGUCUGAAAUAGUUGAAAAGUUCAAAGAAUUUCAGAGUGAAGUGGAGAAUCAUCGUAACAAGAAAAUCAAGUUUCUAUGAUCUGAUCGUGGAGGAGAAUAUUUGAGUUACGAGUUUGGCCUUCAUAUAAAACAAUGUGGAAUAGUUUCACAGUUCACGCCACCCGGAACACCACAACAUUAUGGUGUGUCCGAACGUCGUAACUGCACUUUAUUGGAUAUAGUGCGAUCUAUAAUGUAUAUUACCGAUUUACCACUAUCGUUUUGGGGUUAUGCAUUAGAGAUAGCUGCAUUCACUUUAAAUAGGGCACCAUCAAAAAUCCGUUGAGACGACGCCUUAUGAACUGUGGUUUGGCGAGAAACCAAAGUUGUCGUUUCUUAAAGUUUGGGGCUGCGAUGCUUAUGUGAAAAAGUUUUCACCUGAUAAACUCGAACCCAAAUCGGAGAAGUGCGUCUUCAUAGAAUACCCAAAGGUAACUAUUGGGUACACCUUCUAUCACAUAUCCGAAAGCAAGAUUCGUUGCUAAGAUGGAUCCUUUCUAGAGAAGGAGUUUCUCUCGAAAGAAGUGAGUGGGAGGAAAGUAGAACUUGAUAAGGUAAUUGUACCUUCUCCCAAAUUGGAAAGUAGUUCAUCAUAGAAAUUAGUUCCAGUGAUGCCUACACCGAUUAGUGAGGAAGUUAAUGAUGAUGAUCAUGAAGCUUCAGAUCAAGUUACUACCGAACCUCGUAGGUCUUCCAGAAUAAGAUCCGCACCAAAGUGGUACGGUAAUCCCGUUCUAGAAGUCAUGUUACUAGACCAUGAUGAACCUAUGAACUAUGAGGAAGCGAUGAUGAGCCCAGAUUCCGCGAAAUGGCUUGAGGCCAUGAAAUCUGAGAUAGGAUCCAUGUAUGAGAACAAAGUAUGGACUUUGAUUGACUUGCUCGAUGAUCAGCAAGCCAUGUUAAAUAAAUGGAUCUUCAAGAGGAAGACGGACACUGAUAGUAGUGUUACUAUCUACAAAGCUCGACUUGUCACAAAAAGGUUUUCAACAAGCUCAAGGUGUUGACUACAAUGAGAUUUUCUCAACUGUAGCGAUGCUUAAGUCUGUCCGAAUCAUGUUAGCAAUUGCCACAUUUUAUGAAAUCUGGCAAAUGGAUGUCAAAACUGCAUUCCUUAAUGGAUUUAUUAAAGAAGAGUUGUAUAUGAUGCAACCAGAAAGUUUUUGUCAAUCCUAAAGAUGCUAACAAAGUGUGCAAGCUCUAGCAAUCCAUCAAUGGACUGGUGCAAGCAUCUCGGAGGUGAAAUAUACGCUUUGAUGAGUUGAUCAAAGCAUAUGGUUUUAUACGGACUUUUGGAAAGACCUGUAUUUACAAGAAAGUGAGUGGGAGCACUACAACAUUUCUGAUAAGUAUAUGUGAAUGACAUAUUGUUGAUCGGAAAUAAUGUAGAAUUAUUCUGCAAAGCAUAAAGGAGUGUUUGAAAGGAGUUUUUCAAAGAAAGACCUCAGUGAAGCUGCUUACAUAUUAAGCAUCAAGAUCUAUUGAGAUAGAUCAAGACGCUUGAUAAGAUUUUCAAUGAGUACAUACCUUGACAAGAUUUUGAAAUAGUCCAAAAUGGAACAGUCAAAGAAAGAGUUCUUGCCUGUGCUGCAAGGUGUGAAAUUGAGUAAGACUCAAAGCCCGACCACGGCAGAAGAUAGAAAGAGAAUGAAAAGUCAUUCCCUAUGCCUCAGUCACAGGUUUUAUAAAGUAUGUUAUGCUGUGAACCAGACCUAUUGUAUACCUUGCUCUGUGUUUGGCAAAGGAAUACAAUUUUGAUCUAAUAGUAGAUCACUGGACAGCGGUCAAGAAUAUCCUUAGUGAGGACCAAGGAAAUACUUCUCGAUUAUGGAGGUGAUAAAAUAUCCCGUCGUAAAAAGUUACAUCAGUGCAAGCUUUUACACCGAUCCAGAUGACCCUAAGUCUCAAUCUUGAUACAUAUUGAAAGUGGGAGCAAUUAGCUAGAGUAGCUCCAUGCAGAGCAUUGUAGACAUAGAAUAUUUGCAAAAUACAUACGGCUCUGAAUGUGACAGACCCGUAGACUAAACUUCUCUCACGAGCAAAACAUGAUCAUACCUUAGUACUCUUUGGGUGUUAAUCACAUAGCGGUGUGAACUAGAUUAUUGACUCUAGUAAACUCUUUGGGUGUUGAUCACAUGACGAUGUGAACUAUGCGUGUUAAUCAUAUACAGAUAUGAAUAUUGGUGUUAAAUCACAUGAUGAUGUGGACUAGAUUAUUGACUCUAGUGCAAGUGGGAGACUGAAGGAAAUAUGCCCUAGAGGCAAUAAUAAAGUUAUUAUUUAUUUCCUCAUAUCAUGAUAAAUGUUUAUUAUUCAUGCUAGAAUUGUAUUAACCGGAAACAUGAUACAUGUGUGAAUACAUAGACAAACAUAUAGUCACUAGUAUGCGUCUACUUGACUAGCUCAUUAAUCAAAGAUGGUUAUGUUUCCUAACCAUAGACAUGUGUUGUCAUUUGAUUAAUGGGAUCACAUCAUUAGGAGAAUGAUGUGAUUGACAUGACCCAUUCCGUUAGCCUAGCACUUGAUCGUUUAGUAUAUUGCUAUUGCUUUCUUCAUGACUUAUACAUGUUCCUGUAACUAUGAGAUUAUGCAACUCCCGUUUACCGGAGGAACACUUUGGGUGCUACCAAACGUCACAACGUAACUGGGUGAUUAUAAAGGAGUACUACAGGUGUCUCCAAAGGUACAUGUUGGGUUGGCGUAUUUCGAGAUUAGGUUUUGUCACUCUGAUUGUCGGAGAGGUAUCUCUGGGCCCUCUCAGUAAUGCACAUCACUAUAAGCCUUGCAAGCAAUGUAGCUAAUAAGUUAGUUACGGAAUGAUGCGUUACGUAACGAGUAACGAGACUUGCCGGUAACGAGAUUGAACUAGGUAUUGGAUACCGACGAUCGAAUCUCGGGCAAGUAACAUACCGAUGACAAAGGGAACAACGUAUGUUGUUAUGCGGUUUGACCGAUAAAGAUCUUCGUAGAAUAUGUAGGAGCCAAUAUGGGCAUCCAGGUUCCGAUAUUGGUUAUUGACCGAGAAUAGUUCUAGGUCAUGUCUACAUAGUUCUCGAACCCGUAGGGUCCGCACGCUUAACGUUACGAUGACAGUUUUAUUAUGAGUUUAUAAGUUUUGAUGUACCAAAGUUUGUUCGGAGUCCCGGAUGUGAUCACGGACAUGACGAGGAGUCUCAAAAUGGUCGAUACAUAAAGAUUGAUAUAUUGAAAGCCUAUGUUUGGACAUCGGAAGUGUUCCGGGUGAAAUCGGCAUUUUACCGGAGUACCGGGAGGUUACCAGAACCCCCCGGUAACCUAAUGGGCCUUAGUGGUCCUAGUGGAGGAAGAGGAGAAGGGGCCAAGGGGCAGCCGCGCCCCCCUCCCCCCCUUGCUCCUUUAUAUACGGGGGCAGGGGGGCACCCUAGAAACACAAGUUGAUCUACGGAUCGUUCCUUAGCCGUGUGCGGUGCCCCCUCCACCAUAUUCCACCUCGGUCAUAUCGUCGCAGUGUUUAGGCGAAGCCCUGCGCCGGUAGAGCAUCAUCAUUGUCACCACGCCGUCGUGCUGACAGAACUCAUCCCCGACACUUUGCUGGAUCAGAGUCCGGGGAUCGUCAUCGAGCUGAACGUGUGCUGAACUCGGAGGUGCCGUAUGUUCGGUACUUGGAUCGGUCAGAUCGUGAAGACGUACGACUACAUCAACCGCGUUGUCAUAACGCUUCCGCUUACGGUCUACGAGGGUAUGUGGACAUUACUCUCCCCUCUCGUUGCUAUGCCAUCACCAUGAUCUUGCGUGUGCGUAGGAUUUUUUUUGAAAUUACUACGUUCCCCAACAGAUAUGAUGUUGGGUCGGCACACAAGUGUCGAAUGAAGACAAUGCCUAUCAAGUCCAAUUUGCAUUGGGUUGCAUAUAAGGAGGUUCUUGCAUCCUCGGCAGUCAAGUCACUAGAAGUAUUUGCAAGUAAGGUGGUGAAGGCUCCUCUCUUUCAUGUUGACUUGAACCAAACCUUAGUAGAUGAUGUGAGCCCGGUUAGUAGUGUGCCGCCUAUUGUUGAGCAUAAAGUUGAAGCUGAAGCCAAUGAGUAUCCCCUAUAUGAGUUCGGAGGUAGUGCACCGAUGAAAGAUGAUGGUGAUGACUCCGACGAAGAGUAUGAGAGGCAUCACAACAUUGUUGGUGACGUAGAGGACGAAGUAAGGCAUCAGGACAUGGAUCCUGACAUUAUCUAUCAGCGUGCUUGUGUGGAUGACUCGGAUGAUGAAGGCCCGGUGAAUGAGUUGGACGAGGAUGGCUUGACUGAGAAAGAAGCAGAGUGGUACACAAAAUUCACCGGUAGGGAUCACAAAGUUCCCUUGUUUUGUGAUGUUAGCCUUGCAGAUAAGGCUAUAGUUGACGGUGGCAUGAGCAAGACAAUUGAGGCUAGACAGUUCCCAAGUAGUACACCCGACGCGAUUUCGAUGUCGUACGUGAGGAAAGGUUUGAUGUUCGAGCACAUGCUAGAAUUCAGGAUGUGGUUGUGUGAGUAUGCUGUCAAACACCACAGGCCUUUCAUAGUUGUUCACUCAGACUGCAACAAGCGAUACACCGUGAAAUGUGAGGUAGAAAGAUGCAAAUGGAAAGUCAAUGGAAGACUCACGAAAGAUGGUUGGUGGAAGAUAACUAGUUGCAAAGCCACUCACCAAUGCACACCGCCGGCCGUAGAAGCACGGAAGACACACCGUCAACUAACCUCGGAAUUCAUUGGUUAUAAAUACCAGAAACAUAUAGCCGAGGAUCCAACCAUUAAAGUGAAGUUGUUGAUGAGUUGGAUUGAAGAUAAGUUCGGAUAUAAGGUCAAGUAUGGGAAGACAUGGAAGGCCAAGCAAGUCACUCUCAGAAUGUUGUACGGUGGAUGGGAAGAGGCUUACAACAUGUUACCCAGGUUGCUGGGAGCGAUGUCUUAUAAAAACCUAGGAAUGUACCACUAUGUCCAAGAUAUUGAAGGAGUGUUCCGUCGUGCCUUUUGGAUGUUUGGCCCAUGCAUUGCAGCUUUUGAGCAUUGUCGACCGGUUCUGUCUAUAGAUGGGACAUUCUUGACAGGGAAAUACAAGGGCACACUCAUGAUAGCAAUGGCACAUGACGCUAACGAUCAGGUGUUGCCUGUGGCAUUUGCUUUGUUCUCCGUGGAGAACCAAGACAACUGGGAAUGGUUCAUGAGACUUGUUAGGAGCACGGUCAUUCCUCCAAAUAGGGAGGUAUGCAUCAUAUCCGAUCGCCACCAAGGCAUAUUGAAGGCCGUGUAUAUUCAUAUUCCAGGGCAUGCAAGGCUUCACCACCGAUGGUGUAUGAGGCACUUCGUUGCAAACUUUUACAGAGCUUGCAAAAACAAGGAUCUUUGCAAGGAUCUUAACUCCGCAUGUGUAGCCUUCUCCAUUAAGUCAUUCACAACACGCUUGAACAAAAUCUAUGAGAAGGCAAACAAAGGUGGGAAAGAUUUCUUAGAAAGGAAUAUUGAUGAGCGACACAAGUGGUCACGGGCAUGUGACAAAGGAGGCAUGAGAUAUGGUGACAUGACAAGCAAUCUUGUUGAGUGCUUCAACUUUGUCUUGACGGAAACGCCAAACCAUUGGGCGUUGUUCUGCACUUUGGCAAUGCCAAAGGCAACGGCGUUGCGGACCUACAUAGAAACGCUGAACUUGGCUUGGCGUUCCUUUAAGACAGAAGUUGCCUGGGACACGUACAUGAAACGUUGUGGUGUACGGUUGCAACGCCAAAGGUCCUGGCGUUUUUGCUCUACACAGAAACACUUCACGUGGCUUGGCGUUCCUUUAAGACAGAAGCUGCCUGGGACACUUACAUGAAACGUUGUGGUGUACGGUUGCAACGCCAAAGGUCCUGGCAUUUCUGCUCUACACAGAAACGCUUCACGUGACUUGGCGUUCCUUUAAGACAGAAGUUGCCUGGGACAUGCACAUGAAACGUUUCCGUUCACAGCAGAAACGCCAGGUACCCCUGGCGUUUCCAGGCCACACACAAACACCAACGUCUUUGGCGUUUCUGACCUUCUAUGCAUAUCACACCAAACCAUGCCAAGUACAGCAACAGAUUAUUAGUCAAUGAUCCAACAGUUUUCACAAUAUAAAUGCCAAGUACAGCAACAGUAUAGCAAUGAGACAGUAUAGCAACGAACUUAACAUGAUCCAGCUUACAUAAUAAUUAACAAGUCUUGGUGACAUAGAAAUAACAAGUCCAUCAGAUAUAGAACUAACGAGUUCGCUCCAUCUGAAAAGCUAACUACAUUUUUAGUUCACCAGAUAUAGAACUAACAAGCUCGCAUCAGUCAUCACUUCACUUCUUGCCUCUUUUUGCAGCCAUCUUCCCCCUGUUCACGUAGCCCUCUGGAGUGUUCUGCCAUCCAGGACGUCGGAUGUUCCUUGAGCUAACUCGGCGUGCUUCUGUAGAAGGCUGAUAAGGUUGAGUUGGCUGUGGAGCAUCUUCCAUCUGUGAAGCCCCAAGCUCCACAUAGUCCGGAUCCGCAUCGAAGUCUGUCUCCUCCUCUUCAUCUUCCUGUUCAUCAAUCCGUGCUUGGCUGGAAGAAGGACGAGCGGAAGAAGCACGUGCUUGGCUCGAAGAUGGACGAGCGGAAGAAAGAACAUCCAUUCUAUACUGAGCACGUGCAUGCACAUCCGUUGAUGAACCGCCAUGGCAAGAGAGUAAAGCGACUAGUGUUCGGCAACGAUUCACAACCUUCUGCAGAGGCAAAGGCAUUGACAUGUAAAUAUGCAAAAAUAGUUCACAUGAUAUAAAAUAAAUCUUCAUAUUAAAAAGGCCUCUAACCUGUAGAGUACUCCUAACGAGACCGUUCGUUUCUCUACCAGGUGCGCGGCCAAGCACCACAUUACUAUCAUUGAUACAUCUCCAUAGCUCCGUGUCCUGAAUAAAACUUAAGUGACACACCACUCAUGAAGAAAUGACACAUGUUCAAAAAAGAGACAAAAAGGCAUACCACUCGGUCAUGCAGAGGGCCAUAAUCAGGUGCGCUCCAAUGGUCUCCCUAAUAGAGUUGUUGAAUGCACCAUCAGCAGCCUCACUUGGCAUUACUUCCAAACAAUCGGCACGAGUCCAAGCACCCUUAAGGAUAACUUUGUACUCUUUGAGAAGCCACUCCAAAUGCCUUAAAUAUGCCCCCUCGUUGUUGUCAGGUGUGUGAUCAUCUUCAACUCGGGCAUUCCUCUGAGCAUUCCACAUGUCCACCCACAUAAGAUGGUGAUCCUCCCAAUUAAUGAAAUUCUUGUUGUGUUGCCGGCUCGUCCUACAAAGCAUGAGAAGUAUCGGUAUCAAUUUCAUUUUUCAGUGGUUACAAAUUGAUUAACAUAUGGUACAAAAACUCUCACCUAUGUAGCACCACACUUGUCUCAACAUACUCCGGCGGGGUGCGUUGUUGUACUCCAAAUUGCUUCGAAACACGAUGUGGAAGAUGCCACUCCACCGCAUAAAAGCAUAUCAUGGGGCAACGCACACGCCAAAGAUGUUGGUCACGAAAGCACAUAUUGCUCAAAGGGAACUGCCUAAGUACCAUGUACGGCCUCCAAUUAACCUACAUCACAACAUGUCACUAGCCCAUGCACAACAACAAAAAACUGAAUUGAUAGCAAGGCAUUUGAUAAUUACCUGGUUGUAAGUAAGCAUGUCAAGCUCGCUUAUGUAUGCCUUGUACCGCCCCAUGGCUGCGAUACUAGACACUUGGACAUUAGCCCACGUGUAUGCGAUAGUGGGAUACCGCUCCUCAUCCCCGUCAAAAGGCCACUCCCAAGGUUCUUCCAGAGCAAUGGUCAAGUUACGACCCACAGGGAUAUGCCCCCACAUCCAAAUCUGUAGGGCCCAAACAAAACCGCCAAGACAAGAUUUCGGCUUACUCCUCAUACAUGCUCCGUCCAACUGCACAUUUAUAUACACAUUAAAAAAUCACAUGCAAAAAAAAUCUUUUAUAGAAUGAAAAUUUAUCAAAUUAGCAUUACCUGACGGUACAAGAAGGCUAGUGCCGCCGACCCCCAACUCCACUUAACAUCCAAGUUACGAAGAGGGUCCAAGAACAUCCAGGAGGCUGUGUCUCCCAUGCCGUCAGGAAACACCACUUGGGUCAUAAGAUUCCAUAAGUAAGCCCUUGCGUACCUCUCCACAACAGCCGGACUGGCAUUCUCUGGGCACUCGUAAAAAUGUUCUUGUAGCCACGAGAACAAAACACCAGAUGGCCUAAGAUCCUUCUUUGUUUCAUGAAUCCACUGGGGAGGUUCAACACCAACCAAACCUGCAACCCUUUGUCGCCACCCCUCGGACUUCACCUUCCCGGUAAGAGCCCUGCCCUCGAUCGGAAGACCGGAGAUCAUCGCAAUAUCCUCCAAAGUGACGGUCAUCUCACCAAGAGCAAGGUGAAAAGAGUGCGUCUCCGGCCUCCAACGGUCCGUAAGGGCGUUAAUGGCCGUCGAGUUCAGCCAUGGUGGUGUGCCUUUAAAGUUGAGCACAAACUGGAGAAGAUCCAUUCUUCUAAAAUAAGGCUCGUAGCGACGGCCAUACCUCAGUGACUCACGUGGGUUGUGGCCUCUCAACCGAAGUACUGGAGGAACCUACAAAAAUCACACGCACAAUUUAUAUACUUCUCUAAACUACUCACAAUAUAAUCACAAUAUAAGAAUCAAUAAUAUAGAUACAUAAUUACCUCCCCUCUUUCCGCAAGCACAACACGAUGCUUCUCCUCGUAAUAAUCAUCAAGGCCGGGAUAUUUAUCCGGCUCAAACAUCCUACAAAAUAAGGUAAAUGGAUUUGUUAUGAUAUAUGCUUAAAAUAUGACCACAUCAUAUACAAAAUUGUGUGAAACUACUACAUAUUAUCCCAAAGAUAUAAAUCACGAACCACAUUACCAACACCAAUUCUUUUCAACCUAUUUUAUCCUAAACAAUCUGUCACAACUAAUUAUUAACAAAUAAUAGGUUCAACCUAAUCCAAAAAAUGGUCUCUCUCUAAAUCCAAUACUAAACAAAUUAACUAAAAAUACUUCAACACAAUGAGUACAGCCGGCCAGGAGUACAUGUCUUCUUUCUAAACAGUAUAUCCCCAAAAUAUUCAUCAAACAAAUCACAAAUAACUCAUCUUAGGGUUCCACCAUGUUUGAAAAAAUGCAUCUACAAUAGCCAAUCUUGACUGAAAAUAAAUGGAGGAUUGGGAAGAGAAUACCUCAAGCAACUCGGGGGUGCUUCGAUCUACUCGUUUUGAUGAUCAAAAUAGCAGAUCUGGGGGAGAUUUGGUGAAGAAGAGGGAGGGGCGGCCGCUAGUUCUCGGGACGAACUGCCCGAGCGGAGAGAUGGGCUGGGUCAGGCCCCCGCGGCCCCGCGCGCAUUACUUCAUACAGGGCAGAAACGCCAGGGCCAUUGGCGUUUCUGACGUGCCACGUCAGCGAAAACAGCGGGUUCGGACUGACUGUGGGCCAGGGAAGAAACGCGAGCUACCACGGCGUUUCCAUGUUGGCUAGAAACGCUAGUUUGGUCGGCGUUUCCAUGUUCAUCAGAAACGCCGCGGGCCCUGGCGUUUCUAAAAGGGUCAAAUCGUGAAAUACUUUCACGUCCGGUUCAGUUUGUGACGAUAAACGUUGACAAGGUCAAAACAGUGAUUUCGUCCACACACACACACACACACACACACACACACACACAAUGAAACAUAAUAUUUCAUACCAACAGAAAAUUGUACGUGAUAUUUUAUGGAAAUAUUCACGUAUUUAAAAAAAUGUCCGUGUAUUAAAUACAGUGUAAAAAAUGUACGCAUAGGUUCAAAAAAAUAUAUGUCAAAAUAAUAAAACUGUUUAUAUAAUAAGAAAACAUACCAUUAGAAAAGUGUACAUGACAUUUUAUGGAUAUAUUCCCGGGUUUCAAAAAAUGUUCGUGGCAUGUAAAAAAUGUGAAAUACAGUGUAGAAAAUGUUCACGUAGAUUCAAAAAAAUAUUUAUUUCCGUUCAAAAAGUGUACUUGACAUUUAAAAAAUUCACGUGCUUCCAAAAAAUGUCCCUGAAAUUUUCAGAAAUGCUUAUACAUUUAAAAAAUAUUUGCAUUUUUAUAAAAAUCUAUUGUCAUCCAGUAAUGUACAAAGUUCAUUUCAAAAGUGUCACCGUGUAUUCAUGGAAGUGUUCAAAAGAUGUAUUUUAAAAAAUAUACACCAUGUAUUUAUAAAGUGCAUAUUGUACCAGAAAAAUGUUUCACCUGUGCUCUAAAAAUGUACAUUGUACUAGGAAAAAGUGUACAUGUGUUGAAAUUUGAAAAAUAAAAGCAAGAAAACUGACAGAGAAAUAGAUAGAAAUUAAUUAAAAUUCAAGAAAAUUAAGGAAAUAAAAAAGAAACAAAGAAACCCAAAGUAUAGCAAAGAAAGAAAGAAAAAGACAAAAAAAACUAGAGUUAAAAAACGGGUCAAAAAACAAAGAAAACCCAAAUGAAAAAUAAAAGAAAAAGGAAAAGGACAACAUCAAGGAAAAUCAGUCGAGCGAACCUACAACAACCGCUAAGAGCGACAUCGACCAACCUCGCUGAAUAGGCAAUUCACUGGUGGUCGCCCGUACAUACAUGUCUCAUGUUCAGCUCGCGAGAGCUAUAUCCCGCUUAUAGCGAGAUUAGCUUAUGUUUCGCCAGAAGGACUUUUUCCCUCCGCCUGGCCCAUUUAUCUAUUUUUUUGCGCAGGCUAGCGCGAGCGAGCAAUCGCUUUGCUGGUUUGAAUAUUUACCCUUUUCAGUUUCUUUGUUUCUUCUCCGAUUUUCUGGAAUGCACUUUUGCACCUAUAGCGUAGAAUAUAAUCAAUUAUAAACUUGCAAAUAAAUAAUACAAAUAUUAUUGCCUCUAUGGCAUAUUUUCAACAUGGCCAUGACUGAGGCCAAGAAAGUGUUGGGAGCUGAACGCAUGGAAAGAGAAGACAGUGAGAUGGAAUGAGCUGAAGAUUUUGGAGGACGAGAAAUGAAAAUCCAAGAUGGUGCCGAAGAGAGGAAGUUAAAGGUGGAGGAGCGAUGGCUUGCACUCAAGGAGGAGAGGCUUCCGAAUGCAAAGAAAGUCGAAGACUGUGCUAUCAUGUUCAUCAACCCAACCGCAAUGGAUGAUACUGCAAAAACGUUUUGGGAGCUCCCUCGUGGGAAGAUCUUAACCCAAGCGGUGGUAUUUAGUUUAGCGAGGAAGGUGUUUGAGUUCGUGCAUGUCAUUGAUUGGCCUCGAUCCGCAAUUUUGGUGAUUUUGGAUCAAACUUGAUUGAUGAUGUGAUGCCUUUCAGAUGAACUUUGCAUAUUUUAAUUUGAAUAUCUUGAUCCAUGAAACUAUAUGCUUGUUAAGGGUAUAUAUGUUAUGCAUGUUUACCUUCAAAUAUUUGAAUGAUUGAUGACAUAUUUUGCCAUUUUUUGAGAUUUAUGUGGCUAGGCUAAAAGUAUUAAGGAAAAAAUUGUUCCAAUAAGUUUAGGGAAUCGGCUAGGUCUGGCCAUCUUUAGAGGAGUACAAAUUUACUCCGAUAAAUUUACUCGGUCAUUUAUACCUCUAAAAUUUAUGGGAUCACUAGAGAUGCCUAAGUGCUUUCUCAAAUUACAAGCAAUGAACGCAACCUCAAUUGCACGGAUGGGCUUCAGGCCGGUGCUCUUGGCGAACGGUCAGAAGCAGCAUAGCUAGGUAGACCAACUACACAGAGCAGACAACUGUAUCAGAGCAUCUACAACCACAACUAGCAAAAUUUGGCCUCCAAACGUCCACGGACAACAUGUCAACAAUCAAAAAUUGGAUUUCACAAUUGCAUACCUCAUUUUUAAAUCAUCAAACUCAUACAAUUACAUGCAACGUAAAACUAUUAAUUUUCGCCGAUGAUUGUCAUUAUUGUUCCGACCCUGUCCAUGUCCGCCGCCCGGGUGAGCCCCUCGAAGUGGAGGUGUGGACGUCGGCAAGGUAGAGUAGGACAUGGAACUCGGACCGGGUCAAGGGACUUGUGGCUCCGUUGUCUCUCAUGCCCUACUCUUCCUCAUCGGAGCCCGCGUCCUCAACAUGCUUGCCAUACACCAUGCACGGCCAUCCACGCUUGGUGUGUUCCACCGCGUGCAUGCCUCGCGUCCUUAGCAUGCUUGCCGUACACCAUGCCAGAGUUUACCUUCGGCUCGGAGCCCGACCUCGCGAGGACGGCGUGCCACCAAAGAGGUUGCGCCGAGCGCUAGACGUACUGCACUGCGUCCAGCAAGGCAGGGGUACAUCGCCUCCCACCACGAGCCCCGGUGGAUCCAAUGGCCAUUUGUGUUGACGCAAUGGAUUUAUGCUGGAAUGAGUCCGUCCAUGGCCGGGUGCACUCCACCCGUGAAUGGUGGAGAGCCAUGCGUAUGGCCUCUCUCCUCCUAGGGACGACAAGGGAUAAGGUCCCUGUCGACGAAUUCGGAUCUCUCAGAGUCAAAACUGCUGCCUGCCAUGCCGGAGACAGUCGGAGUUCAUCGGCGAAGACCAAGGGCGCGGAGGGGAGUGGAGUGGAGUGGAGUGGAGUGGAGUGAAGAGCGGCUAUGGUUUCGUCUAGAGUGUGGAUAGGGUUGGAUAUAUGUGGGGAUGGGUGGGCCAUAGUGGGACUGAUCCGAUGUGGCGAGCGUGUCUGGGCGUCCUCACAUAUGCCCCACAUAUGAGCUGGAUAUGGGGUCACCGGUUAACCCAGGCGUUUGGGCUGCAUUUCAGACGUCCGGUUGGAUGCCAGUUUCGCGUUCGGACAACCCGCUCNNNNNNNNNNNNNNNNNNNNNNNNNNNNNNNNNNNNNNNNNNNNNNNNNNNNNNNNNNNNNNNNNNNNNNNNNNNNNNNNNNNNNNNNNNNNNNNNNNNNNNNNNNNNNNNNNNNNNNNNNNNNNNNNNNNNNNNNNNNNNNNNNNNNNNNNNNNNNNNNNNNNNNNNNNNNNNNNNNCGAGCGUUUGUGGCAGAUAUGUGUGUGUGUGUGUGGGGGGGGGGGUCUGGUUGUAGAUGCUCUUAAUUCGUCGGUUAAGCAACACACGCGUAUGUGAGGCUCGCAGUCACAGGCUACGGGCAGGUGCAUCUAGGAUAUUGCCGGCGAUGACGAGAUCAACGGUUCGUUGGCGUGGCGGACGAGGCCGACCGGUGGUGGAUUGAAGAUAAAGAUGACACGUGGGGCAUGGAUGUCAGUGAGAAUAGCAUGUAAUCCCUAUCGGGAUCGACCUUUUCCCAGCUCGUCAAACAGGUAUAGGGUUAGGCUUAACCAGGAUAUUGAUUUCAAGAGAUUAUAAGGAUUAAGGUUAAGGUUCGAUUUUGACGAGAUGUAUUAACUGGAGGUUCAAAACAGACCUCAUAUUGUAAAGUUUAAUUACUCAAACAAUCCACACAUACAUGAAUAAAAAGACGAGCACAACUAAAUGGCAAUAAUCGAGGUCUCCUAGACCUUUGAGAGAUGUAACCCGUUGAUCAUCAGUUCUACCAACAACAUGAAAGUAUUCCAUGUUAGGACCGAGAGUAUAUUGACCAGAGGGGGUGAAUGGGAGAUUCAAAAUUUUCUUUCGAAAGCUUUGAAACUUAACCCAGUCACAGCAGCGGAAUAUAGUAUUGAGAGAAAAGCACUAAAUCAGUUUUCUUUGUCAGAGGCAUAUUCAUCGAGGAAGGCAUUUACAACAGAGCAAGUACGUUGGAUAAUGCAUUUAACAACAAUGAGGGUUAUGCAGCAAGCAAACAAGUGUAACAGAAUGAGACAGAACAUAACUGAAUCUGAAGUAAAUGCAACUGAAGGGAUACACAAGUUGACAAAAAUACAGACUAGCAACGAAGGAAUAUAGACAAGCAUUAAGAAAGUAAUUAACACGAAUACACAGGAUAAGAAUCACAGAACAAAACAAAGAUCAGAGAAUCUAGUGGCACAGAGCACGAAUGAACACUACUGAAUGAAAUGCAGUAGAAUAGAUAUAACCAGUGGUGCUCGAUGGCGACAAGAGGUUUGGUAGACCAGUUCACCCUUCUGCCAAAGGGCUACCUCUGGUUGGAGGGGAUGUGACUUAACACGGAAGAUAAAUUCUCUUCACCCUAUUCUCCUUCAACACAGACCUGAUCAAGCUCAGGUUGAUUUCACUCAUGGUAGAUCCUUCUCGGUGAUCUCCAAACCUUCAGUCGACCUUCACGAACCAAAAUCACUCUUGGCUGCUGAAGAUCAGGCUCGGUGAAGACAACAAUUCUUCAACACUCGAAGCCAAACCUAUCCGUCUAGAGAGUGCGCAGCUCUCAAGAGUAACAGUUACAAGAACUCUCACUCAGAACUGUUGUGAUGCUAAACCACUGUCUAAGUUUGGGCUCUUGGUUUUCUCUCGGUGGAUCUUAAACUCAAAUCACUCAGAGAGGAGUUGCUCAAUUCGAUCUUCUCAGAAAUCUCAAGCGGAGCAGCCAACAGAUAACGUUGGAGCUAGGUGGCUAUUUAUAGCCGUAGCUUUCCCAGAUGGGAAAUGACCAAAUUGGACAUCAGCCUCGGCCAAUGCCCUAACGACAUGAUUCCAACAGUCGGAUUUGAGCAUAACGGUAACAUUUCUUGCAGAGCAAGAUAUGCUAACUCAUCGGUCCGAGGCAAAUCUCUCGCUGCAAAGAAGAUCACAGUCUCUUGCUAGCAAGUAUUUACUCGGAACACAAAGAGAUUUCUCUCGCAUCUUUCAUAGGUUGUGGCUAAGCAUCACAGCUGAUCUAAGAAGCGAGAACCUAUACUCCUCUUAAUAGUACAGAGGUCCUAUGACUCGACAGACUGAAAGAAGAAAAAUGAAAUGAAUGCUACGUCUUCACUUUGUCUUCGACUUCAACCACAACAGUCAAUUUCUUCAGACGACAGUAUCGAAACAAAAGCUUCACUUCAGCAGUAAACUUUCGAGGGGUCUAUUUCUUCACAUUAAUCUUCUCGACUCUACCACUUCAUUAGAUAUAGCUUGUUCUUCUCUGCAGCGCAAAUAUGCUUCGGUGAAGUUCCUUGAACUCAUCACCGGAGACAUCAUUCUCUUUGGUUGUGUAUGGACAUUUAUCUAUAUGUGCACUAGCAAACAAAUUAGUCCAUACCUGUUUCUAUCAACAAUCUCCAAAACACAAGGUAGGCAGAUAUUGCACCAACAAUCUUCCCCUUUUUGGACGACUGUUGACAAAACUGAUCACAUCGAAUGAUAGAUAAUGAGUGGAAUGUAAUGCGAAGAAUAAUGAAAGACGAGAGAAGAUUACAAAGAUAUGAUAUUCUCCCCCUUAAGAUGUGCUUCGGUCUGGGAAAAUAUGUUUAUCUUCGUAUGAGUGUCAUUGACAACGGAUUUCAUACUACAGUUUGUUCAAUGCACUUGACGGUGUCUGAGGCUAUUCCUGUCACAAAAACUUCAACAAGGGUUAGAUGUGAAACAAACAUUGCGAGCUUUGUGAAAUGGAUAAGUUAUGAAGGUUUUAUCAUAACACAGUUUGAAUCCACAUGAUAUAUGGUUUUCCUGCUUGUUAGAUGUUUGAUAUGAUCAAAGCAGGAUCGAAUAAUAAUUCAUAGCUCAGAGUGGAUAUGCUUUGAAGGUGGUUUUGCCGCCAAAGAGAUGAUGCAAAUGAUAUUCAUGAGGAAAAACACUUUGUCAAUCAUAUGGAUGACUUUUAACUUCCUGCAAGGUUAAAUAAUGAUAAAUAGCAAUAAGAGCAUAUCCAACCAAUAGUUGUGAAUCAUAUAGUGCUCCAAUGUAACAUCAUCAUUUGAUGUUUCUCUGUUCUUCUUGGCAGAGCUGUGUUCCUGUAAGAUCAUUGAUUUCUGAUGAAAAUCAAUCGGAGGAUAAACAUUCAAAGCACCUGCAGACAAAAUAGUGCGAAGCAAAAGGUAUUGCAAGUGGGAGGUUAUUAACAUUACAUGACGAUCGAGUGUUUUCAGCACCACAUGAGAUGCGAUAAAGUUCUGAAGCAAACUGUUCGAAGAGAAACCAAAUGAAAAUACAAAGCAAAACACCCUGCAAACCCCGAUAAACUAUCACUCGAUGUUAUUCUCCCCCUUUUUGUCAACAAGUGUCAAAAAGGAAAGAGAGAGCACAUGAGGAAUUACUAGGAAAUCUUCUGAGUCAGAGUUGACACCACUUGUAGAAUCAGAGUCAGAAGAAUGAGAAAUGGUCAAGGCAGAAGCAGGUGUAGCAGCCUUGGCUUUGAGGGGCUCCUAAGGAUGUGCAUCUGGCUUUUAGGUACGAGUGCCGGUAGUGUCUUUGAUCUCAUCAUCAUGGUUGACAAACAACAGAUCCGUUGAAGUAGAAUGUUGUGGGAGCUGUGGAGUUUGUCUUCAAACAGGCGGGACUGCAAGCAAGUUCAGAUAGUCAUAGUCUUUGUGGAGGCCUUCCUUGGCAAGAUCCUUGCGAGAGUAAUCCCGUCUCAGCAAGGUCCAUGAUCUCUUCCUUGCAUCCUUCUCAUGCAGAAGAAUUUGCCGAGUGUGAUUAUGAAGCAGAUUCAGUUCAGCCAGCAAUUCCAACUUUUCUUUUCUAUCCAUUAUGAUGUGCCUCUCCAGUGUAUGCUGUGUGCGAAUGCAAAUCUCAUAGAGUGAUGAAUUUUCCUCUCGAGGAACUUCAACCUUGGCUUCUUUGACCUUUCUAAUAUUCUCUGAUGUAGAAAAAGAUGCAGUAGCAUCAACAAUUUCCUUUCCUUUUCUGUAUUAUAUCACUAUGAGCAGAGUGUCACGGACAGGUGGCAUGAAUACCUUCGGUGCAUAGGCCCAGAAGAAUUUUUCAUUGGUGAGCUGCUCAAUGGCAUACAUAAUCCAAGGAGCAUAUGGCUUCAACGACUAAGGGUUGUCUGCAGCACAUGCCAGAUUCCGAAUAAAAAGGUUAGGAAUGUCAAACUUGAUUCCCUGAGAUAUUGACACAAGAGCAUUUCCCACGAUGCCUUUGUUGGAGUUGGGCCUGUUAGUUGGCGUAAUGGUAUUGCACAGAAUGUGGAAUAGCACCUUGUUAUCAUAGACCAACUUCUUAGGGUCAACGUCAAUGCAUUCAUCGCCCACCAAAGUGGGAUCCAUCAGGAUAUGGAGUUCUUCAUCAGAUACUUCAAGGAAAUGCAGUAUGUGUUCUCUGUCAUUCUCAAAUUCACACUGAGGCAAUUUUAUCAGGGCCAAAAAGUGAUUUUUUGAGAAUUUGAUUCUCUCUCUGCCAGUCAUCCACUCAAGCAUCCAUGUUGAAGUAUUUUCCAUCUGCCCUGUGAUGUACAACAUGGCAUAGAACUGAAGAAUAAUCUCUUUGUUCCAUCCAUGAUUGAAUUGUUGGGGAACGUAGUAAUUCAAAAAAAUUCCUACGAUCAUGCAAGAUCUAUCUAGGAGAUGCAAAGCAAUGAGACGGGAGAGUGUGUCCAUGUACCCUCGUAGACUGAAAGCAAAAGCGUUUAGUAACGCGGUUGAUGUAGUCGAACGUCUUCACGAUCCAACCGAUCCAAGUACCGAACAUACGGCACCUCCGUGUUCAGCACACAUUCAGCACGAUGAUGUCCCUCGAGCUCUUGAUCCAGUUGAGGACGAGGGAGAGUUCCGCCGGCACGAUGGCGUGGCGACGGUGUUGAUGAUGUUACCGGCGCAGGGCUUCACCUAAGCACUAUGACGAUAUGACCGAGGUGUUAAACUAUGGAGGGGGCACCACACACGGCUAAGAGAUUGUCUGUUGUGCUUUGGGGUGCCCUACCCCCGUAUAUAAAGGAGGAGAGGGGGAGGCUGGCCGGCCCUGUAGGGCGUGCCAAGAGGAGGGAGUCCUACUAGGACUCCAAGUCCUAAUAGGGUUUCACUUGGUGGAAGGGGGAGGAAGGAAGGGAGAGGGAGAGGGAGAGAGAAAGGGGGGCCGCACCCCCUCCCCUAGUCCUAUUCGGACUCCCCAUGGGGGGUGCAUCCCCUAUGUGGGGUGUCCUCUCUCACCCCUAUGGCCCAUAAUGGCCCAUUGCUUCUCUGGGGGGUUUCGGUAACCCCUCCGGCACUCCAUUUUUACCCGAUAUCACUCGUAACUCUUCCGGUGUCCGAAUAACAUAGUCCAAUAUAUCAAUCUUUAUGUACUAACCAUUUCGAGACUCCUCGUCAUGUCCAUGAUCUCAGCUGGGACUCACAACAAACUUUGGUCAUCAAAAACACAUAACUCAUAACACAAAUCGUCAUCAAACAUUAAGCGUGCGGACCCUACGGGUUCAAGAACUAUGUAGACAUGAUCGAGACACAUUUCCGAUCGAUAACCAAUAGCGGAACCUUGAUGCUCACAUUGGCUCCUACAUAUUCUACGAAGAUCUUUAUCGGUCAAACCGUAGGACAACAUACGUUGUUCCCUUUGUCAUCGGUAUGUUACUUGCCUGAGAUUCGAUCGUCGGUAUCAUCAUACCUAGUUCAAUCUCGUUACCGUCAAGUCUCUUUAGUCGUUCUGUAAUGCUUCAUCCUGCAACUAACUCAUUAGUCACAUUGCUUGCAAGGCUUAUAGUGAUGAGCAUUACUGAGAGGGCCCAGAGAUACCUCUCCGAUACACGGAGUGACAAAUCCUAAUCUUGAUCUAUGCCAACCCAACAAACACCUUCCAACACACUUGUAGAGCAUCUUUAUAAUCACCCAGUUACGUUGUGAUGUUUGAUAGCACACAAGGUGUUCCUCCGGUAUUUGGGAGUUGCAUAAUCUCAUAGUGUGAGGAACAUGUAUAAGCCAUGAAGAAAGUAGUAGUAAUGAAACUAUAAUGAUGAUAAUGCUAAGCUAAUGGAUGUGUCUUGUCCAUCACAUCAUUCUCUAAUGAUGUGAUCCCGUUCAUCAAAUGACAACACAUAUCUAUGGUUAGGAAAUAUAACCAUCUUUGAUUAAUGAGCUAAUCAAGUAGAGGUAUACUAGGGACACUAUGUUUUGUCUAUGUAUUCACACAUGUACUAAGUUUCCGGUUAAUACAAUUCUGGCAUGAAUAAUUAACAUUUAUCAUGAUAUAAGGAAAUGUAAAUAACAAAUUUAUUAUUGCCUAUAGGGCAUAUUUCCUUCAGUCUCGCACUUGCACUAGAGUCAAUAAUCUAGAUUACAAAGUAAUGAUUCUAACACCCAUGGAGUCUUGGUGCUGAUCAUGUUUUGCUCGUGAAAGCGGCUUAGUCAACGGGUCUCCAACAUUUAGAUCCGUAUGUAUUUUGCAAAUCUCUAAGUCUCCCUCCGCGACUUGAUGCCAGAUGGAAUUGAAUCAUCUCUUGAUGUGUUUGGUUCUCUUGUGAAAUCUGGAUUCCUUUGCCAAGGCAAUUGCACCAGCAUUGUCACAAAAGAUUUUAAUUGGACCCGCUGCACUAGGUAUUACACCUAGAUCGGAUAUGAACUCCUUCAUCCAGACUCCUUCAUUUGCUGCUUCCGAAGCAGCUAUAUACUCCGCUUCACGCAUAUAUCUCGCCACGACGCUCUGCUUGGAACUGCACCAACUGACAGCUCCACCAUUCAAUAUAAAUACAUAUCCGGAUUGCGACUUAGAGUCAUCCGGAUCAGUGUUAAAGCUUGCAUCAACGUAACCAUUUACAACGAGCUCUUUGUCACCCCCAUAAAUGAGAAACAUAUCCUUAGUCCUUUUCAGGUAUUUCAGGAUGUUCUUGACCAUUGUCAAGUGCUCCAAUCCUAGAUUACUUUGUUACCUCCCUGCUAUACUUAUAGCAAGGCACACAUCAGGUCUGGUACACAACAUUGCAUACAUGAUAGAACCUAUGGCUGAAGCAUAGGGAAUGACUUUCAUUUUCUCUCUAUCUUCUGCAGUGGUCGGGCAUUGAGUCUGACUCAACUUUACACCUUGUAACACAUGCAAGAACCCUUUCUUUGACUGAUCCAUUUUGAACUUCUUCAAAACUUUCAAGGUAUGUGCUUUGUGAAAAUCCAAUUAAGCGUCUUGAUCUAUCUCUAUAGAUCUUGAUGCCCAAUAUGUAAGCAGCUUCAUCGAGGUCUUUCAUUGAAAAAUUCUUAUUCAAGUAUCCUUUUAUGCUAUCCAGAAAUUAUGUAUUAGAAAUGCUAUAGAGCUCCCACUCACUUUCUUGUAAAUACAGGCUUCUCCAAACAUCCGUAUAAAACCAUGUGCUUUAAUGACACUAUCAAAGCGCAUAUUCCAACUCCGAGAGGCUUGCACCAGUCCAUAAAUGGAUUGCUGGAGCUUGCACACUUUGUUAGCACCCUUUGGAUCGACAAAACCUUUUGGUUGCAUCAUAUACAACUCUUCUUUAAGAAAUCCAUUAAGGAAUGCAGUUUUGACAUCCAUUUGCCAAAUUUCAUAAUCAUAAAAUGUGGCAAUUGCUAACAUGAUUCAGACAGACUUAAGCAUCACUACGGGUGAGAAAGUUUCAUCGUAGUCAACUCCUUGAACUUGUCGAAAACCUUUUGCAACAAGUCGAGCUUUGUAGACAGUAACAUUACUGUUAGCAUCGGUCUUCUUCUUGAAGAUCCAUUUAUUUUCUAUGGCUUGCCGACCAUCGGGCAAGUCCACCAAAGUCCACACUUUGUUCUCAUACAUGGAUCCCAUCUCAAAUUUGAUGGCCUCAAGCCAUUUCACGGAAUCUGGGCUCAUCAUCGCUUCCUCAUAGUUCGUAGGUUCAUCAUGGUCUAGUAACAUGACUUCCAGAAUAGGAUUACCGUACCACUCUGGUGCGAAACGUAUUUUGGAUGACCUAAGAGGUUUGGUAGUAACUUGAUCUGAAGUUUCAUGAUCAUCAUUAGCUUCCUCACUAAUUGGUGUAGGAAUCACUGGAACUGAUUUCUAUGAUGAACUACUUUCCAAUUCGAGAGAAGGUACUAUUACCUCAUCAAGUUCUACUUUCCUCCCACUCACUUCUUUGGAGAGAAACUCCUUCUCUAGAAAGGAUACAUUCUUAGCAACGAAUAUCUUGCCUUCGGAUUUGUGAUAGAAGGUGUACCCAACAGUUUCCUUUGGGUAUCAUAUGAAGACACACUUCUCCGAUUUGGGUUUGAGCUUAUCAGGUUGAAGCUUUUUCACAGAAGCAUCCCAGCCCCAAACUUUAAGAAACAACAACUUUGGUUUCUUUCCAAACCAUAGUUCAUAGGGCGUCGUCUCAACGGAUUUCGAUGGUGCCCUAUUUAACGUGAAUGCAGCCAUCUCUAAAGCAUAACCCCAAAACAAUAGCGGUAAAUCAGUAAGAGACAUCAUAGAUCGCACCAUAUCCAAUAAAGCACGGUUACAACAUUCGAACACACCAUUUCGCUGUGGUGUUCCAGGUGGCGUGAGUUGAGAAACUAUUCCACAUUGUUUCAAAUGAAGACCAACCUCAUAACUCAAAUAUUCGCCUUCACGAUCAGAUCGUAGAAACUUUAUUUUCUUGUUACGAUGAUUUUCCACUUACUCUGAAAUUCUUUGAACUUUUCAAAUGUUUCAGAGUUAUGCUUCAUUAAGUAGAUAUACCCAUAUCUGCUCAAAUCAUCUAUGAAGGUAAGAAAAUAACGAUACCCGCCAUAGGCCUCAACACUCAUUGGACCACAUACAUCAGUAUGUAUUAUUUCCAGUAAGUCAGUAGCUCGUUCCAUUGUUCUGGAGAACGGAGUUUUAGUCAUCUUGCCCGUGAGGCAUGGUUCGCAAGCACCAAGUGAUUCAUAAUCAAGUGAUUCCAAAAGCCCAUCAACAUGGAGUUUAUUCAUGAGCUUUACACCAAUAUGACCUAAACGGUAGUGCCACAAAUAAGUUUCUCUAUCUUUAUCAACUUUGCAUCUUUUGGCAUCAAUAUUAUGAACAUGUGUAUCACCACGAUCGAUAUUCAACAAAAAUAGACCACUCAACAAGGGUGCAUGACCAUAAAAGAUAUUACACAUAUAAAUAGAACAACCAUUAUUCUAUGAAUUAAAUGAAUAACGGUCUUGCAUCACACAUGAUCCAGAUAUAAUGUUCAUGCUCAACGCUGGCAGGAAAUAAUAAUUAUUCAGGUCUAAAACUAACCCCGAAGGUAGAUGUAGAGGUAGCGUGCCGACGACGAUCACAUCGACCUUGGAACCAUUUCCGACGUGCAUCGUCACCUCGUCCUUGGCCAAUCUUCGUUUAAUCCGUAGCCCCUGUUUCGAGUUGCAAAUAUGAGCAACAGAACCAGUAUCAAAUACUCAGACGCUACUACGAGCAUUAGUAAGGUACACAUCAAUAACAUGUAUAUCAAAUAUACCUUUCACUUUGCCAUCCUUCUUAUCCGCCAAAUACUUGGGGCAGUUCCGCUUCCAGUGACCAGUCCCUUUGCAGUAGAAGCACUCGGUUUCAGGCUUAGGUCCAGACUUGGGCAUUUUCUCUAGAGCAACAACUUGCUUGCCGUUCUUCUUGAAGUUCCCCUUCUUCCCUUUGCCCUUUUUAUUGAAACUAGUGGUUUUGUUAACCAUCAACACUUGAUGCUCCUUCUUGAUUUCUACCUCCGUAACCUUUAGCAUUGCGAAGAGCUCAGGAAUCGUUUUCGUCAUCCCUUGCAUAUUAUAGUUCAUAACGAAGCCUUUAUAACUUGGUGGUAGUGAUUGAAGAACUUUGUCAAUGACACUAUCAUCAGGAAGAUUAACUCCCAACUGAGUCAAGUGGUUAUGGUACCUAGACAUUCUGAGUAUGUGUUCAUUGAUAGAACUAUUCUCCUCCAUUUUUUAGCUAUAGAACUUGUUGGAGACUUCAUAUCUCUCAACUUGGGCAUUUGCUUGAAAUAUUAACUUCAACUCUUGGAACAUCUCAUAUGCUCCAUGACGUUCAAAACAUCUUUGAAGUCCCGAUUCUAAGCCGUAAAGCAUGGCACACUGAACUAUCGAGUAGUCAUCAGCUUUGCUCUACCAGACGUUCACAACGUCCGUAGUUGUAUCUGCAGCAGGCCUUGCACCUAGCGGUGCUUCCAAGACAUAAUUCUUCUGUGCAGCAAUGAGGAUAAUCCGCAAGUUACGGACCCAGUCCGUGUAAUUGCUACCAUCACCUUUCAACUUAGCUUUCUCUAGGAACGCACUAAAAUUCAAAGGAACGGUAGCACGGGCCAUUGAUCUACAACAACAUAGACAUGCAAAAACUAUCAGGACUAAGUUCAUGAUAAAUUAAAGUUCAAUUAAUCAUAUUACUUAAGAACUCCCACUUAGAUAGACAUCCAUCUAGUCAUCUAAAUGAUCACGUGAUCCAAAUCAACUAAACCAUGUCCGAUCAUCACGUGAGAUGGAGUAGUUUUCAAUGGUGAACAUCACUAUGUUGAUCAUAUCUAUUAUAUGAUUCACGUUCGACCUUUCGGUCUUAGUGUUCCGAGGCCAUAUCUGCAUAUGCUAGGCUCGUCAUGUUUAACCCGAGUAUUCUGCACAUGCAAAACUGACUUGCACCCAUUGUAUGUGAACGUAGAGCUUAUCACACCCGAUCACCAUGUGGUGUCUCGGCAUGACGAACUGUAGCAACGAUGCAUACUCACGGAGAACACUUAUACCAUGAAAUUUAGUAAGGGACCAUCGUAUAAUGCUACCGCCGUACUAAGCAAAAUAAGAUGCAUAAAAGAUAAACAUCACAUGCAAUCAAAAAUAUGUGACAUGAUAUGCCAUCAUCAUCUUGUGCUCAUGAUCUCCAUCACAGAAGCAUCGGUAUGAUCUCCAUCUUCACCGGCUUGACACCUUGAUCUCCCUCAUAGCAUCGUUGUCGUCUCGCCAACUAUUGCUACUACGACUAUCGCUACCGCUUAGUGAUAAAGUAAAGCAAUUACAUGGCGAUUGCAUUUCAUACAAUAAAGCGACAACCAUAUGGCUCCUGCCAGUUGCCGAUAACUCUGUUACAAAACAUGACCAUCUCAUACAACAAUUUAUAUCACAUCAUGUCUUGACCAUAUCACAUCACAACAAGCCCUGCAAAAACAAGUUAGACAUCCUCUACUUUGUUGUUGCAACUUUUACGUGGCUACUACGGGCUUCUAGCAAGAACCGUUCUUACCUACGCAUCAAAACCACAACGAUUUUUCGUCAAGUGUGUUGUUUAAACCUUCAACAAGGACCAGCCAUAGUCAAACUCGAUUCAACUAAAGUUGGAGAAACAGAUACCCGCCAGCCACCUAUGUGCAAAAACACGUUGGUAGAACUAGUUUCAUGAAUGCGGUCAUGUAAUGUUGGUCCGGGCCGCUUCAUCCAACAAUACCGCCGAAUCAAAGUAAGAAGUUGGUGGUAAGCAGUAUGACUAUUAUCGCCCACAACUCCUGAAGGAAAUAUGCCCUAGAGGCAAUAAUAAAGUUAUUAUUUAUUUCCUCAUAUCAUGAUUAAUGUUUAGUAUUAAUGCUAGAAUUGUAUUAACCGGAAACAUAAUACAUGUGUGAAUACAUAGACAAACAUAGUGUCACUAGUAUGCCUCUACUUGACUAGCUCGUUGGUCAAAGAUGGUUGUGUUUCCUAGCCAAAGACACGAGUUAUCAUUUGAUUAACGGGAUCACAUCAUUAGGAGAAUGAUGUGAUUGACUUGACCCAUUUUGUUAGCUUAGCACUUGAUCGUUUAGUAUGUUGCUAUUGCUUUCUUCAUGACUUAUACAUGUUCCAAUGACUAUGAGAUUAUUCAACUCCCGUUUACCGGAGGAACACUUUGUGUGCUACCAAAUGUCACAACGUAACUGGGUGAUUAUAAAGGAGCUCUACAGGUGUCUCCAAAGUUACAUGUUGAGUUGGCGUAUUUUGAGAUUAGGAUUUGUCACUCCGAUUGUCGGAGAGGUAUCUCUGGGCCCUCUCGGUAAUGCACAUCACUAUAAGCCUUGCAAGAAAUUGACUAAUGAGUUAGAUGCGGGAUGAUGCAUUACAUAACGAGUAAAGAGACUUGCCGGUAACGAGAUUGAACUAGGUAUUGAGAUACCGACGAUAGAAUCUCGAGCAAGUAACAUACCGAUGACAAAGGGAACGGUAUAGUUAUGCGGUUUGACCGAUAAAGAUCUUGGUAGAAUAUGUGGGAGCCAAUAUGAGCAUCUAGGUUCCGCUAUUGGUUAUUGACCGGAGAUGUGUCUCGGUCAUGUCUACAUAGUUCUCGAACCCGUAGGGUACGCACACUUAAAGUUCGGUGACGAUCGGUAUUAUGAGUUUUUGCAUUUUGAUGUAUCGAAGGUAGUUCGGAGUCUUGGAUAUGAUCACGGACAUGACGAGGAGUCUCGAAAUGGUCGAGACGUAAAGAUCGAUAUAUUGGAUGACUAUGUUCGGACACCAGAAUGGUUUCGGGGAGUUUUGGACAUAUACCGGAAUACCGGGGGGUUACCGGAACCCCCCGGGGAGCUUAAUGGGCCAAGAUGGGCCCUAGUGGAGAAGAGGAGGGGCGGCCAGGGCAGGCCGCGCCCCCUCCCCAUCUAGUCUGAAUUGGACAAGGAGGGGGGCGGCGCCCCCCUUUCCUUCCUCUCCACUCUUCCUUCCUUCCCCUCUCCUACUCCAACAAGGAAAGGAGGAGUCCUACUCCCGGUGGGAGUUGGACUCCCCACUUGGCGCGACCUCCUCCUUGGCCGGCCGCCUCCCCCCUUGCUCCUUUAUAUACGAGGGGUAGGGGGGCACCUCUAGACACAACAAUUGAUCUCUUGAUCUCUUAGCCGUGUGCGGUGCCCCCCUCCACCAUAUUCCACCUCGGUAAUAUUGUAGCGGUGCUUAGGCGAAGCCCUGCGUCGGUAGCAUCAUCAACAUCGUCAUCACACCGUUAUGCUGAUGGAACUCUCCUGCAAAGCUCUUCUGGAUCGGAGUUCGUGGGACGUCAUCGAGCUGAACGUGUGCUGAACUCGGAGGUGCCUUACGUUCGGUACUUGAUUGGUCGGAUCGUGAAUACAUAUGACUACAUCAACUGCGUUGUGCUAACGCUUCCGCUUUUGGUCUAUGAGGGUACGUGGACGACACUCUCCCCUCGCGUUGCUAUGCAUCACCAUGAUCUUGUGUGUGCAUAGGAAUUUUUUUGAAAUUAUUACAUUCCCCAACAGUGGCAUCCGAGCCUAGUUUUAUGCGUAGAUGUUAUAUGCAUGAGUAGAACACAAGUGAGUUGUGGGUGAUACAAGUCAUACUUCUUACCAGCAUGUCAUACUUUGGUUCAGCGGUAUUGUUGGAUGAAGCGGCCCAGACCGACAUUACGCGUACGCUUACGCGAGACUGGUUCUACCGACGUGCUUUGCACAUAGGUGGCUGGCGGGUGUCAGUUUCUCCAACUUUAGUUGCCCCGAGUGUGGCUACGCCCGGUCCUUUAGAAGGUCAAAACAGCACUAACUUGACGAACUAUCAUUGUGGUUUUGAUGCGUAGGUAAGAAUGGUUCUUGCUCAGCCCAUAGCAGCCACUACAAAAAAAUACAAUUCCGUGAUGAUACGUGUUUGUCACAGUAGGUCGCGUUUUUUGUCAUGCAUGUACAUCCAUGACAAAUUUAUGACAGAAUGAAGAUAAUCAUACCUGUGCUGUCGUAGAAGUGUUCCAUGACAUUACCAAAAUUAUCAUCACGGAAGUGUCCACUUCCAUGACGAUAAAUCGCGCGUCACAGAAGUGCUUUCGUCAAGGGUGACCGACACGUGGCAUCCACCGUAACGGAACGCCGUUAAGCUAUCGGGUCGGGUUUUGGAUCCGAUAACCCAUUAACAGCCCCGACCAAUGGGGAUUUUCCACGUGUAAAAUCAUCAUUGGCUGGAGGAAACACGUGUCGGCUCACCGUUGGGACAAAUGUCAUCCACUCAUUGGACAAAAGGCGCCUAUCAUACGUCGACACGUGGCAUGGCCCAACAGAGGACCAUUCCUGUGAAAAGGCCGGCCCGUUUGACUUGGUCAAAAGGUGGCGGGCCGGCCCAUGGAAAGCCUGUUAACGGCCUAUUCGCAUAUAGCCCAUUUGCAGCCCGCUAACCCAAGGUCCGUUACGCCCUAUCCGAAUUAGGCCCAGUAGCGUCAUCUGGGCCAUCCAAUAUGAUUCCAGCCCGUUUUCACUUUCUGGCCCAUGUAUGGCCCAUGACGUCUUCCGGCCCAUAUGAGGCCCUAUGUAACUCUUGGCCUAUUAACGACCCGUGGGGAAACUGGCCCGCAAUGAACAGUGUAUCACUUUACACCCAUUAAGGACCUGUGGUGAAACUGGCUCGUAAUGAACAGUAUAUCACUUUAUACCCAUUAAGGGCCCGUUCUUCAGUUGGGCCGCUUCCAGCAAAUGUUAUGUUUCGGCCUUCUCAGAGCCUAUUUAUUCUUGGGGUCAUUUCCAACAUUCGUUUACUUACGGCCCGUUACUGUCAUUUUUUGCUUGUGGGCCAAAUUCAGCCCGUGGUUACAUCGACCCGUUUGUGGUCCGUUAAUACGUUGGGCCGUUUUCAUAGAGUCAUCAAAUAUGGCCUAUUAACGAUGGCCUGUUAUGGUCAUACGGCCCGUAUAAGGACCAUUCAUGAUACGUCCCGUAGAAGGCCCAUCGUUUCUAUGGCCCGUAGAAGGCCCAUUGUUUCUACGGCUCGUAGAAGGCCCAUUGUUUCUACGACCCAUAGAAGGCCUACUGUUUCUAUGGCCCGUAGAAGGCCCACUGUUUCUACGGCUCGUAGGAGGCCCAGUGUCACUAUAGUAAAUAUUAGCCCAUGGUUAUUGUGGCCUAGUUUUAAAAAGAACUGCACUGACUACAAGCAAACAAAUAAACAAGACAACAAGGAAAUAAAUAAGUAAGCAACUUAUGCUAGGCUAUCACGGCUGUUACACAUAUUACAUCCACUGGGCAUGAAAGUUCGCCACCAGUGCAAAUAUAGGGAACAAAGCAGCAUAUCAUAUACACUGGUUGUCAAAGUUGGCGACCAACGCAAAUAAACGCCGCAGCAAAACAAAUCCAAAACUUAAACCACUUCAGAAGAUCUCAAGAAACAAUAUCCUGGGUACGCAUAAUGCUGGCAAGAUUCUUAGCAAGCUUAUUAACUUUCUCUUGUUUGGCGCUUAAAUCCUCCAGCGCUUGCUGUUGCACCAGAAAAUAUGCAUCUGAAUUCUGCACGGACUUCCUCAGUCCUUCAGCUUCCUAUCGCAGCACAUCUGAUCAAUGUCUUUCAACUUGAAGUUGAGAUUCAAGAAGACAAACUAAGUCAGAUAGCGAGUUCAAAGAGCUUGUGCCAGCAGUAGUGGCCAGUAACUCGAACACUACAUCAAGACAUGACUUUUGGGUUCCCUCACUGUCGUCAAGAUAGUUUUUAUCAUCUUUCUUGGAGACCAACAGGGAUGUCUCACUAUCUUGAACCUUAUCUGCAUUACUUCCUUUACCAUUGGAUAACGCGGUACUGUUCUCCAAUAUUUUGUCCGCAUUCUAAAAGAGAAACAAGCAGACACAUCACAUGUUUACCAUGUUGUAUAUCAAACUCAUUUUGGUAAAUGAGUUCAGUAGUAAAGUGGACAGGAUAACAGCAUGAAACAAACAUAUAUCUAUGUACCAUGGUCACUUUAUGGUCUAUAUCAUUCUAGUUUUUGUUGCCAAAUCAAGAUAGAGACACAGUUCAAAUAAUAUUUGUUCAAGACAAAGCGGAAUAGAUAGAAUAUAAGUGUGGGUAACUAUAGAGCAAUAACAACACUUGUAAUGUGCAUGCAUGAGAACAUAACUGUUUAUUCAAUUGAAGCUGAAAUCAACAUAGAGCAGGUUACAACAGCAAACCAGUUAAAGAAACAGGUUUAAAACAUACCUGUUGCGUCAUUGGAGUUUCAAUUCCAGCCUUCAAAUUUGAAAAUAGUUGGUAUGAGUAAAUAUAGUAAUACAAGAGCAAAGGAGUAUGAACCAUAGCUACAGAACCUGACCUGAGAACAAAUCUUCUUCUCCUUUAAGCGUUGAGUUGGGAUUCGGAGUGGUGGUCCUCGUGCUUUGGGCACUGCAGUUCCCUUACUAACCGCUCGUGUUUGGGUGCUCUGUGGUGGAGACGGUGUUGUGUCAACUGGAACUGGGUUACUAUCUGUCGGGGUUGGGGUUAGAAGGGGUGUAGCUAGUUCUCUGUCCAACUGGGUAGGGGUAAAAUCUGCGAGAGUCUAGGUUAUGUGCGGUGGAUCUGGUCCUUGGGAAAGUACAACCAUGGCUCUAUCUGCAUCAACUGGUAGCACUAUCUUUUAUGAAGACCGUGUUGUUACUCCCUUAGAUACUGCCAUCACGCUCUCCAAUAAAAAUGGCUGAUAAACAAGAAAAGUAAUUGAAAGUAUAGACAUUGUAUGAUAGAAAUGUGCAAUGGAUAGUGGGGAAUAAAAGACGGCAUGAAAUUAUUCAUAUUUAUGUUGUCUAACCAAACAGGAUAGCAUGACACAAUUUCACAUAUAUGAUGGCUAACUAAACAGGAUAGCAGGACACAAUUUCACAUUAUGAUGGCUAACUAAAAAAGAUGGAAAGACAUAGUUCAAAUUAUGAGACUAUGUAAACAGGAUGACAUGACAUAACUAUAUAAUGUGUUUAUUAAAUAGGUUGGCAUGCCAUAAUUCACAUACAUUCAUGGAUAGAAUGCCAUAAUUCUAAAUAUGAUGACUGUAAACACUAAACAGGAUGAGAUGAUAUAACUAUAUGAUUUUUUAUUAAAUGGGUUGCCAUGCCAUAAUUCAGAUAGAUGAUGUGUAUGUACUAUGUAAACAUGAUGGCAUGAUAUAAUUCAAAUAUAUGAUUUAUAUAGUAAGCAAGUAAGCAGAUGGCAAUCUAUAUAUGAUGUAAAAACUAAGCAAUGCAAGACAACAUGCAUGACAUGGGUAAUAUAACCCUGCCAAGUUUGAGCAUAGACCUCAGGGGGGAAAUAGGACUGGUCAUCAGUCUCUGAAUCCUCCUCUGAGGAGCUCUCUGUAGCCAGCAAGAUGUCUACUUCAGCAGGUAGCAUUGUCUGCUCUGAAUACCUUGUUUUCACUCCAGAUACUUCCAUCACCACUUCAAAUAGCUGAUGCACAGGAAGAGUAGUUGAAUAUACAAACAUUGUCGACAAAUGGAACACGUAAUACAAAAAAUGAUAGCAUGAUAUAAUUCACAUACAUGAUGAUUGGCUAAACAACAUGACAUUGCAUAAUUCACAUAUAUAAUGCCUUUGCAACAAGAUAGCAUUGUAUAAUUCACAUAUAUAAUGUCUUGCAACAAGAUGGCAAUGCAUAAUUCACAUUUAUGGUAAUUAGACACUGAACAUGUGGCAUUCACACAAAGCAUGUCUAAACUAAUCAAAUGGCAUAGCAAUGUGAUACACCAUAUGCACGAUAUGAGCAACAUAACCCUGCCAAGUUAGAGCAUACACCUCGGGGGGGGGGGGAUAGGACUGGUCAUCUUUCUCUGAAUCCUCCUCCGAGGAGCUAUCCGUAACCAGCGAGAUAUGUGCUUCGUCAGAUAGCAUAGUCUGCUCAGAAGACUUUGUUUUCACUCCAGAAUUUGCCAUCACCGUGUCAAAUAGCUGAUGCACACGAAGAGUAGUUGAAUAUACUAACAUUGUUGACAAAUGUAAUAUGUAACGAAACAAAAGGAUGGCCUGAUAUAAUUUACAUAUAAGAUGACUGGCUAAGCAGGAUGGCAUUGCAAAAUUCACAUAUAUGAUGCCUGGCUAAACAAGGUGGCCUUGCAUAAUUCACAUAAACAAUGAAUAAACUAAACAGAUGGCAUUCGCAUAAAGGAUGUCUAAACUAAGCAGAUGACAUAUUUGAUGUAUAAAGUAAGCAAUGCAAGACACCAUAUGCAUGAUAUAACCAACAUCAGCAUGCCAAGUUAGAGCGAAGACCUCAGGGGGUAAAUAGGAGUUAUCUUCUCCUUCUGAACCCCCCUCAGAAUAGAUAUCUUCCUCUCGAUUACAAUCCAAAAUGCGUGAAGGGGGGCUGCCUUUGCACCUACCAUGGAGCGACGUCUGCAUGAAAUUAUAUUGCCACGCAAGGCUCAUCUCUUUUGCUCUACAUGUUCAGUUCCAUUGUUUACAAUAACUGUCAUGCAUAGGAAUAAAACAUAGUGAGAUUAUGUAAGGAGUGCAUGCAGAAAUCUAGAGUGAUGGCAGCAACAUGUGGAUAGACCCAAAACCAAUAAAUAGUAGGCAGAUAAUGGCUUCAGUUAAUAAAUACAGAUAAUGGCUUCUUUAUUGUUUGUUUCCCACCCAACAUGAAACUCAUAGUAGACACCGGAGAUUAACCAGAUAGUAGAUAGAUACUAUUGAUAGCGGCCCCGAUAUGUACCCCAGAACCAUUUAAAAAAUCAAGUUUGACCAUCAGUUUGGAGCUGACUUAGAGUCUAAUCGGUGAACAGGAUGAUAAACUAGCAUGUAAUAUUAAGCGAUGCAUAACGUAAGCAGACACGAAAGAGUGCGACCUCUCUUGUGGACCCGUGUAGUCCUCGAGGUCAUCUGCUCGUUUGAUGAUGGUAAUGCAGUUUUCAUGGCUGCCAGCGGCGGGGAAGAAGAUCUGAGGCGGCGAAAGACAUUCUGGAGGCCGGAUCCCUGCUGUGCUCGACCCUUCUGUCGUUAGAGCAGCUGAGCUGGGGUGGAUGAUGGCGCAGCAGGAGCGGGACAAACCACACAAGGUUUUCUUUGACAACUAUCUAUAAGAGAAGUAAUUCUGUAAGGGCUCGUUUGAAUUGGAGGAUUCCAACAAUGCAGGGAUAGGAAAUAGACAGGAAUAGGAUAGGAAUGCAUGUGCAAAACAGAGAAUUUAAAAACACAGGAUUUCUGCCAAUCUGGGUGUUUGAUUCACAACAAUUGGAAGAUCACAGGAUGCAAAGAAGCAUGGUGAGAUUAAGUCAAACCACAAGAAAAUGUACGGUUAUAAUGCUAUUAUGCUACUAUCUCUUAGUCUUGUGCUUCAUGAAUAGGAAUUUGAAAAGGAGGACAAGUGAAAAUUAAAAUUCCUACAUUUUUUCUUUCAAGGAGACACUAAAGGAACAAAUCCGUGUGCUCAGUGGACAAUAUAUAUAACAUGUAGAGUAAAAAACAGAUGCAACAAGUGUACAACCUCUUUGGCGAAGCCAUGUCGAUCUCAGCGUGAUUGGGUUGGCUGGUGAGGAUGCUCCGGCUGACUUUGCUGUCGGAGGAGGGGAAGAAGAUCUUAGGCGUCUGGAGAUGGAGCCCGAGGUACUGCUCCGCUGUGAUGGAGGGUUUCAUCGUUGGAGCAGCUCCAGUGAGUUGUACGACGCCGAGGCUGAAGCAGGACAAGAGAGACAAUGAACAAUGUUAACCUGAGUGGAAUUCUAAUAGCAUCUCCAAUACAUGACAUAAAAUACAUAACCACAAAGUGCUAGAUGUAAAAUACAUCAGCAGCUCAUCUCUGAACUUAACUGUCGAAACUGAACUUAACUGUCGAAACUGAACCUAACUGUCGAAACUGAAUUUUGUUGUCGAAACUGAAUUUUGCCGUUGAAACUGAAUUUUGCUGUCAAAACUGAACGCACUAGGUGAGGCUACAUAUCGGUCGACAGACUUUUUCAUCUCUGGUCACUCGAUUUUGCAGCCGUUGGGUACGAAAUCAAGGGCCUGCGGUUCAUCUUCAACCUCCACCCCCCUGAGCUGCCAGCCACCACCGGCCAAACAGCAGCCCCCCGCCGCCCGCGGCUGGCGGUGCACCGCCCCGCCCACCCCGAAAACACUCCCCACCGCCGGUCCGCCGCCGCCCCGGCCAUCCCUCUAGGCCCCUUCGUGCCGAGCUUUUUCUCCGGCGAUCCCCACGCCACCGCCCCGCCACCGCCAGCGACCAUCGCCCCCAUCCUGAACCCUAAGAUAGAUAGUGGGGUACCUCUCCGGUGAGCCCCCCUCCCUGCUACGGCUGGUUCUUCCUUCACCCCUGGCGAGCCCACCCCUUGAAAAUUGACUGACACAAAAGUCGAUUCAGUCGACUGAAGUGUAGCCAAAUCGGAGCAGCAUCGCAAGCAAGAGCAAGAGCAAGAGCAAGAGCAGCAGCAUGACCAAGAGCAAUAGCAAGAGCAGACCAGGCAGGGGACCGAGAGCAAGAAUAGAGCAGCAGCGCGAGCGAGAGCUAAAGCAGCAGCAGCUCCUACUGAUGUGGACGUCACCGCCGAGGGAGCGACGCCGUGGAGGAAGUGGCCGGCGACGCCGCCGUGGAUGGAGCCGCACCGAGCGUCGGUAGCACCGUGAGAUCGAAUCAAGAAGAAAAUGCGGCGAUUAGUGUACAACCUCUUUGGUGGCACCGAUUAGGCCACAGCUUCAUCCGAGGAAACGGUGAUGAUGAUGCUCUUUCGGUGGUGCAGGUGAAGACGGCCGUGUGGGAAUGGAGGUGGCACAAAAGACGAGGGGAACAUCGGGGCAACUCCUUGGAGGUGGAGGACGGGGUGGCUGAACUGGUGGGAUGAUGGGAUCGACGACAGAUCCUCAUCCGGUACGGUGGAUGAGGGACGUUGAUGUGUUGCUGUGGACGACGUCGUCGUGGAAGAGGCUCCGUCUGGGUGGCGGACGGAGCAGGGUGUGGGGUUUCGUCACGGGUUUUCGCGGACUUGGUGUACGAAUGGGUGGGCGGAUGGGAUGGCAGUGGGGAACCAUGGCUUAGAUACGCGCUUGUCCGAAAUGUGGGGUAAGUUAGGAAAGUACCCCACCGAUUUGAGGCGGUUCUUUCGGUUUAGGGGUACCACGGGCAUUUCGCGUGUCGGGAUUUCACAGGAGGUGGGAGUUUUCGCGCAUGUUGUAAUUUCGGAAUAGCAAGGCGUGGGUUGAGAUGGAGGGAGUUGUCGGAGCACAACGAGACACAGAUAUAUCUUAAAUAUUUCGGGCUAACAAGGCACGGGUUGAAAUUUCCGGACAAGCCUAACGUGUACUGUACCAAAUCAAUGCGCACAACAAAUGUCAUUCAAAACUUUGAAUUCAUGUUAUGUUCAAUUAGAAUAUUUCACUACGUGUAUAAUGCAUGCAACCUACUACUCAAAUGAACGUUUUAGUGCAUUCCAAACGUAUAUACUACCGCUUCAAUAUGAACUAAAUUUGAAUAAGAUCUACAAUAAUGAUUGUUGUGAAGUCAAAGCAUUUGAAUUCGUUUCUCUGUUUUAAUAAGAUCUACAAUUAUCAUUAUUGUCAAGUUAAACCAUCGUUUGUGUAUUAUCUUCACAUCACAGCACAUGAUUAGUCUCGAGUUACAUAUGAACUAUGUGUACUAUAUGAACUCGAACUAGAUUUUUUGAAUCCACUUUAUUUUGAUUUCAAAUCACAUUACAUUUCUAGCUCUAGCUAGAUCUUCAUAAUCUAAACCAUGUCUCAUAUGUAUAAUAUGUUUAUCACAUUAUGUAUGGUGCCCCGCCCCCUACGCCUACAAGUAUUUAGAUGUGAGCUGCAAACACCACACAUUACCACAAAUUCAAAUAAAAUGUGAGAAUGUUCGAUAUAUAGUAUUGUUUAGAUUGCUCGAUAUUUAGUUGUAAGCUGCAAACGCCGCACAUUAUCACAAAUUCAAAUAAAAUGUGAGAUUGUUUGAUGUAUAGUAUGGUUUAGAUUGUUAGGCAUUUAGCUAUGAGUUGCAAAUGCCAUGCAUUAUCACAUUAUGGUAUAACAUGUGCACAUCACGUGUAUCACCGCUAUAUUCAUGCAUGCAAUGUUGAAAACACUAUGAUCUCCUAUUCAAAUAUAUGAAUCCGGUUUCAUAUCAAAUUAUGAUCUUUGUUAGUCUCUUACACCCACACAAUCCUCUAACCUUUGUAGCUACCACUAACUUUCUCUCGUGCAUGCACAUGCCCUCCUCGCCCUCCCCCUCCCUCGGCAUUCUAUCCACCAGGCACAUUCAUUUUUUUUUCUUUAGGUCGUUCUCCCAGAGUCUCCACAACUCCUUUCCGACCCACACCGAUCGAUAAACCUCUCUAGCGAUGCCUGCCUACAGCAUACACACACAGCUUCAAUCUCCUCCUUUAUGUGUCCUUGCCUCAUGUCUCUCAUAUGGUCAGACACACGUGUAAACUCUUGCCCCUCUUUUCAUCGAUCUCACAACCACACACUCCUCCCCCUAUCUAGAUAGUAGUUGGGCCUCUUGCACCACCUCCUAGCUCCAUUCUCUCUGUCUAUCCGUCUUGCUGGGCCUUAUUUGCCUCUAACAAAUGGACGUACACCGACCGAUCUCUCGCUAUACAUAUAGCCAGCUAGGUCCUUAUAACUCGUUUUUACCCACACAUCGAUCGAUCUACCUCAUUAGUUGUGUCUCUCCCUUCCUCCGACAAACAACAAUUGAUCUACCGAUCUAGUUAGGUUUGCUUACCAAACACAUGGUUCCCCUUCAUCAUCCAUGGAUGCGUCCCGACAGUUCUACGCACAGGCACACACAAAAACACAUCCCCACUCUUAUUGAUAAUAUUGUAGUUCCACCCUCAGUUUGUCUAGUAGGCCUCUCCCACCAUCUUCGAGAAGCAACUCCAUCACCCAUCCAGCACUCUACCCCUCUCCCUCCCUCUCUCUCCUCUCUCUCUCUCCCUCUAUCCCAUCCUAUUUCCCGUCCUUCAGUUAUGUAUGGAUGUCGACCGAUCUCCCUCAAGACAUAGCUGGGUCUCUCCUUCUCAACACAUAUACGAGUCGUUCUACCUCUAUAGUUAGGCCUCUGCCUCCCCCUCCCCCACCCCUCCCCCCACACACCGAUACAUCAAGCGCUCUAGUCAUGUCUCCCGGCCACACACAAACUUUGUUGGGGAACGUUGCAGAAAAUUAAAAUUUUUCCUACGGUUUCACCAAGAUCCAUCUAUGAGUUCAUCUAAGCAACGAGUCAUGGGAGAGAGAUUGCAUCUACAUACCACUUGUAGAUCGCGUGCGGAAGCGUUCAAGAGAACGGUGAUGAUGGAGUCGUACUCGCCGUGAUCCAAAUCACCGAUGACCAAGUGCCGAACGGACAUCACCUUCGUGUUCAACACACGUACGGAGCGGAUGAUGUCUCCUCCUUCUUGAUCCAGCAAGGGGGAAGGAGAGGUUGAUGAUGAUCCAGCUGCACAACGGCGUGGUGGUGGAUGCACCAGAACUCCGGCAGGGCUUCGCCAAGCUGCUGCGGGAGGAGGACGAGGUGUAGCAGGGGAGGGAGGCGCCAAGACACAGGGUGCGGCUGCCCUCCCCCCUUCCCUCCUUUAUAUAGGCCCCCAGGGGGGGCGCCGGCCCUGGGAGAUCUAAUCUCCCAAGGGGGGCGGCGGCCAGGGGGGUUGGAGUGCCCCCCAAGGCAAGUGGGGGCGCCCCCCACCUAGGGUUUCCAACCCUAGGCGCAGAGGGGGGCCCAGGGGGGCACACCAGCCCACUAGGGGCUGGUUCCCCUCCCAUUUCAGCCCACGGGGCCCUCCGGGAUAGGUGGCCCCAUCCGGAGGACCCCCGGGACCCUUCCGGUGGUCCCGGUACAAUACCGGGUGACCCCGAAACUUUCCCCAUGGCCGAAACAGCACUUCCUAUAUAUAAUUCUUUACCUCCGGACCAUUCCGGAACUCCUCGUGACGUCCAGGAUCUCAUCCGGGACUCCGAACAACAUUUAGUUUGCUGCAUACUCAUAUUCAUACAACCCUAGCGUCACCGAACCUUAAGCAUGUAGACCCUACGGGUUCGGGAGACAUGCAGACAUGACCGAGACGGCUCUCCGGUCAAUAACCAACAGCAGGAUCUGGAUACCUAUGUUGGCUCCCACAUACUCCUCGAUGAUCUCAUCGGAUGAACCACGAUGUCGAGGAUUCAAGCAACCCCGUAUACUAUUCCCUUUGUCAGACGGUAUGUUACUUGCCCGAGAUUCGAUCGUCGCUAUCCCAAUACCUCGUUCAAUCUCGUUACUGGCAAGUGACUUUACUCGUACCGUAAUGCAUGAUCCCGUGACCAGACACUUGGUCACUUUGAGCUCAUUAUGAUGAUGCACUACCGAGUGGGCCCAGUGAUACCUCUCCGUAAUACGGAGUGACAAAUCCUAGUCUUGAUCCGUGCCAACCCAACAGACACUUUUGGAGAUACCUGUAGUGCACCUUUAUAGUCACCCAGUUACGUUGUGACGUUUGGUACACCCAAAGCACUCCUACGGUAUCCGGGAGUUACACGAUCUCAUGGUCUAAGGAAGAGAUACUUGACAUUGGAAAAUCUCUAGCCAAACGAACUACACAAUCUUGUGCUAUGCUUAGGAUUGGGUCUUGUCCAUCACAUCAUUCUCCUAAUGAUGUGAUCCCGUUGUCAACGACAUCUAAUGUCCAUAGUUAGGAAACCAUGACUAUCUGUUGACCAACGAGCUAGUCAACUAGAGGCUUACUAGGGACGUAUUGUGGUCUAAGUAUUCACACGUGUAUUACGAUUUCCGGAUAAUACAAUUAUAGCAUGAAUAAAAGACAAUUAUCAUGAACAAGGAAAUAUAAUAAUAAUCCUUUUAUUAUUGCCUCUAGGGCAUAUUUCCAACAAACUUGACAUGUGCCCUCUAACGUUCCGGUAGGCCAGUCGCCCUAUAUAUUUGACUUGCACACACACACACACACACACACACACACAAUUUCGAUGGCUCUCUUCAUCGAUCUCGCACCCACCCACUUGAUCCUCUCUUCGACUCUAUCGAUAGCUAUGGCCCCUCCCUCUCUUCUCGUGGAUUGCCCAACCCUCUAUGUAUGAUAUGGAUAGGCCUCCAUUUCACACACAUUGAAUGCAAAAAUUUGUUUGAGAUGUCAUCGACACAUAUUCCCACAAAUAAUUCACGAAAUCAACCCCCACCCCACCCCAACCCCCCACCACAAAACAAAAAACACUCAUGAACACGGUUUGUAUCUCUCUCACACACCCACGUACGUGGGGGACGUGCAUGAAGAGAAGAGGUGCAUGCACGGCGCACGUACUCCCGUCUCUUUCCCAACCACACCCGCGCGGGUACACGGUGGAGCUCAUUUCUGUAUGAAAAAGGCAGCCCACGUGGUAAUUUGGCACGUGUACUGGUUGUCCACUUGGUGGAGGGAGGAUCAUCUACCACGGGUGAACAAACAAAUUGCAACUUGACGCGUUAUGUUAAAUUAAAAAAAGAGGCAAACCAUGUGGGGCCUACCUUAGAGGCAAGGCUCUAUACACUGGAGUACUUUUGAUGUGUCCCGUCAACUCGCAGAACGAGGAGAAGCUUGCUUAGUACGCCGUCUCUCCCGCCCACGGUCGCGGUGGCUCGCAGGAUGAGGUGAAGCUUGCUCCUCCCUCGCCCAUGCGCGCGGUGGCUCGCAGGACGAGGAGAAAAAUUUACUACUCCCUCCGUUUACUCCUCGUCCCUACUACCUUGAUUAUAGAGAUUAUAUCAUAUUGUUUGGAAUAUAUAUGUCCUUUAGUAGAUUUCAAUAGGAACUACUAGUACAUACUCCAAACACUGAUGUAUAUAGACGUAUUUUAGAGUUUACAUUCACUCAUUUUGCUCCGUAUGUAGUAGCACUCAGUUUGGGUGUUUGGUAGAGUGCAUGGAGGGUGCAUGAGUCCACAUUAGUUUAGCACAAAUACACUAGAAGCAUGCAUGAAGAGAGCAUGCAUGAAGAGGGGUGUUGAGUUGAGCAUGCAUGAAGAGGGAACAACUAUGCCGAGACGAGAACGCAACCAAACACACCCUAUAUGCCAUGCAUGUUCAUACCAUUUGUGCCUUUCUACUUCACUUACUGUGCUACAUUACUCAGGUUCGUACGUCCACUCCUGGGUACAUGUCCGUCUCGUAGUUCCAGUGCCACAUGUUCUUCAUAUAGAUGGAACGAUCAUUGCAUAACACAUGUGCCUUGAUGCUAGAUGUCUCGCGUGUUGGCAAAGGGAUGAACAAAGCUCACGUAAAAAAAAUAGAGUGGAAGAACAUAGAUUCCGGACGACCGAGAAGGAGCAAGGAACCUCGUGGUGGAGCGUCUGCACUCAUAAUAUUUAAUAUUAUUCAGCAAUAUAAAAUUAACCAAUCAUCUCCACAGUGGACUGGAAGAGUACGAAACACGGCAGCCCAGUGUAGUUACAUCAUACUAGUACAUGGCUAACCCACGCUAUCACCAUAUUUCUUGGCUUCCGUGCGACACCUAUCUCUAGUAAUCCAGCAGCCUGUAUCGCUUCUCCCUCCUCGUCUCUAUCAAAGUGCGGUGGGCUGGCGUUUCUGCCGUCUAUUGAGGUUGGUUAACUAUCACAUGUUAGCGACAUGCCAAGAGCAUUCUAAAAAAAUUCCUUUCACGUUCUGUUUUCAAAAAGAAAAAAUCCUUUCACGUACGAAUUUGCCUGUAUGCUUUGAGCAACUUGCAUGUCCUAUACUGCUCCUGUUUGAUACUCUAACUUAGCUAGAGGUUAGACUAACUCAUGACUAACCCUGAACUAACUGUAGCCAAAGAGGUGAUUGGGUGAAAGGGUUAGAUUGAUAAUAAAUGCACUUCAUGGAGAGAGAAAAGUGAUUUUUCAGUGGUCCCAAUGAGAACUAUCUCCAGUUAGCACCUCUUGGGUGGGAUAGUUUUUUUUCGUGGGUUUGGUGCAACUUGCUCCAAUUUAAACCCUCAUGCUUGGAUACUUUAGGGCUAUUUGAGCCCCAACUAGCUCAAACUAACUCUAACCCAUGGAUCCAAACAGGGCGUAUGGCCAGUCUCGACGCGGAGCAGUCGCGUGCACCGGGAAGCGGUGCUCUCUCGGCCAUCGCGCCACUUCAAAGCCGGCGCUAGUGAGAGGUCGCCUCCGCUCUGGCCGGGCAUUAAUGCGGCACUGAUGCUCCAGGGCGACGCUGACUAUUUCACGCGGGAAGCGCGCGCUGGCAAGGGAGUAUAGGUUUUGAACCGUUUCAGACGUAUUUUAGAGUGUACAUUCACUCAUUUUGCUCUGUAUGUAGUAGCACUCUCCCUCGCCCCUCGACCCUCGCCCACGUGGUGGACUUGCAGCAAUUCAUUCGGUCUCAUAUAGCCAGAACGAUAUAUACUGCACUACCAUUAUUGCUCGACUUCCCGAAGAGGCGAAGAGCCAAUCGCAAGGUUAAUAUUUUGGAGAUGCCAAGCACAAGGUUAUAGGAGAACGAGUAGUAUGUGCCGCAUCAUUUAUAAAUAAUUUUUUUUCUUCAGUGGCACGUACGCAAUAUGAUAGGUUCAUAUGGAGAGAAAAGGAAACCGCUCCACUAUAUACAUAGUCAGGAUGGGCCAGCCUACAUGGUUGCUUGCUGGGGUUGCUCUCUUCACACUCUCUCACACAAAACGAAUGUGGCCACAUCUCUAACAUCCCGGCGGAUCACGUCCACUUGGGGAAGGGGUGGAUGCUUAGUGUAGAUGCAGUGGCCGUCGCCGACGGCGAAAACCCACUGUCGGCACAUCCCGAUCAGGGGUCCCCGCUGUUCUCUCUCACAAAGCCGGUGAGGUUGCCUUCGUCCCUUGAUCACUGCCGCAACGUGGGCAGUUGCCGCCUCCCGCCACCCUCCUCAAGGUUGAGCUACGUCCGUCAGGUACAACUCCCUUUACAGCCGGCUUGCACCACUGCUCCAGCUGCCCACAUCACUCCCUGUGGAUAUUUCUCUACUUCUUUGCCCCGCACAUACCUGAUACCUCUAUUGGCUUCUAUGUACUGUAUUUGUGAUGAGUUUAUGUCUCAUCAACUAGUCCUAGUAAUCUUAUUCUAAUCAUGCUUCUUCAAUUUCUUUGCCACAGGGAUGCUCAUCUUGAUUUUGGUGAAACUGCACAAAAUGAACCGAUGGUCAAAAGGUUGCAAACUUCAUUUGUUAGGCAUCUCAAAUGUUGCCAGCAAAUUGAAGCCUGGUCAGGGUUCACGGUUCAAGGGCUAGGGACUGUAUGGGUCGUUUUUUUCUUUAGCUGCCUCUGUUCCAAAAUAAGUGUCAACUUUAGUAGUAGUACAACUUUGUACUAAAGUUUGCACAAAGUUGAGACACUUAUUUUGGAACGGAGGGAGUACAUAUUUGCUAUGAUCUAUCAAUCAUUGAGAUGAAAUAGCAUGCAUGUUAGUCUCCUUUGUAUUUGAUGAAAUGUUGCAACGGGCAACCUUGGACGCAAGAUACAUGUAACAGGAGCUGGAAGCUUCAUAGCAUUGUACAAAUUUAUCUCGCUAAUAAAUUACAAUACGUACUAGUACUAUACUAGUACUUCCUUCAUUCCUAAAUAUAAGUCUUUGUAGAUAUUUCACCAUUAACCACAUGUGGAUGUAUAUAGAUGCAUUUUAAGUGUAGGUUCAUUCAUUUUGUUUCGUAUGUAGUUCACCUAGUGGAAUCUCUACAAAGACUUAUCUACUAGUAAUAUCUAGCCCCCACUACUAGGAAUUCUCUAUCCUCUCCUUGAUCCACAUCAUCAAAAUUGACGUAGCCGUUAGAUGAAGUAAAUCAGUCAUAAUAGCCGUCUGAUCUAGACGUUGAGAGGCUCCGCACUAAGCCACAUGCAAGCAUGCAGAAAUACCAUGGCACAUGCAUGUGAGUGGGUUUUAAAUCACAUCAACAUGUCUGCAUGCAAGCAUGCACCGGUGGCAUGCAUGUAAGUGAGCUUUUAAGUCCCAUUAACAUGUUAAAAAGAAAAAUAUUAUCCCAUUAUGCAGUAGGAGUUGGCUGAUCUUUUUUCCUUACAUGGGAUGAUCUAAAUGAUGAUGGGAGUUUAUUUAGUUUGGCUACCACAUUUGUCAUGCGAUUAUAGAUUUUUUUAGUUCUAUGAAAUCGAUAAUUUUGCGCAGAGAGAUAUACCGCUGUUCCGCAGCAACGCGCGAGGACUCAUCUAGUAAUAUUUAGGAAUGGAGGGAGUACUAUGUAAAGAGUUAGGUGUCGCACGGUGAUAGUGUGAGGUGGGCCAUGUAAUCACUGAGCCUGCAUGUUUUCACUGCUCUUGCACUCCUUCGCUGUAAGAAUGGAGAAAAUUGUAAUCUACUACCUCCUUUCGCCGAAAGCGUGGGACAUCCAGCAGUCCUACCACCUCAGUAAUAAAGACCAAUGAGCCGUCAAAUCACAUAGACCCAGCAGUAAGUUGGAUGGACGAAGCAACCAUCACUCUUGCGCGAGUGAGAGGUCGCGUCUGCUCUGCCCGGGCAUGAAUGCGGCACCGAUUCUUUGGAGCGGUGCUGACCGUUUCGGGCAGGAAGCGCGCGCGGGCGAUGGAGGGGCUUUGGGUGGGCCAGGCUGGUUAGGAGCGGGCGUGGCAUCUGUCCGCAUGUCCCUACCGGACAUGCCUGGAAACGAGAGGAUGCACCGACUCUCGCGGCUAAAAUCGUACACUACACACCAUAUCUCUGUAGGAGUAGGUCGAUCUGUCGCACUCUCUAACACACACAUGCUGUUAAACACACACACGCACACACACACACCUUGGUCCCGUUGCACCUUCUAACGUGACUUAUUACACCUAGACGGAGGGAGUAGUAAGUAUACGAGAUACGGUGGCACACUGACUUAAGUCGAAUACAAGUGCCCAAAAUUUGUGUGCAUGUUAUAAUAAGGAUUCACUUAAAAUAGUACGUGAGCGAACAGAGGGAUCAAUUGGACAGUGUUCCCGAGCAGUAGCGAGAUGUGUGAGGUAGUAAGAUACACCGUUAGCGCUUUUAAUUUUUCUUAUUAAUUUGUUUGUUUCACCCUCUAACUGGUGGGACCCAACGUACUACGUGGAGAGAGGUAAGGUGACUAAGGCUGCAUUAUUUCUGCAUCACUAUGGAUAGUCUUACCACCAAAACCACAUGACACGAUUAUGAUUGAAAUCGUAAUGACUCCCACACACACACACACAAAAAAACACGGCAUGCCUAUCACACGAAUGCAGGAAUGUAUAAAAGGUUAUUUUCCUCUCGUUGAACAUAACGGGAGGGUUGUGUAGCUGGUUAGCCUGUUCGCUCAUCAAACUUGAGGUCUCGGGUUUGAUAAUUACACUUGAGCAUAAUUUUUGCCAGGAGGAUCCUUUGACUUGUCAAAAUGUUUUCUAGGGUUUGCACGCUUCACACUCUCUCUCCAGUAUAUAUAUACACGCUGGAUCCUCAGCGCUUGUAGUUGCUCUCUUCACACUCUCUCGCCCUCUCUAGAUCUAAACAAGACUUCGUUGGCCUCUCUCUCCCCUCACUGCUGCUCAAAGAGACGGCAGGAUCCAUCCGCCGGGAAGGGAAGGAGGCUUAACGCUGUCGCCGUCGGCGAGGGAGGGAAUCCACUACUGGCGCUGCUAUUCACUUUCCACCCAGCGGUGGUGCGGGAGGGCCUCCGACCCCUUCUUCUUCGCCGUCGUCCCGUCGCCCACGAAACCACACCCCAAGAACCUUAAGGUAUAUUUUACUUACUCCACAUGCAUUGCUCUAGCUGCAUGUAUACCAUGAAUCUAGGACGUGGUUCAAAGAGAAAAGGAGUGGGGGAAAGUAGUGGGAAAAGUUGUAUAUAGCAUGAAUCUAGGACAUGGUUCAAAGAGGAAAUGAAGGGGGAAAGUUUUAUAGCAUGAAUCUAGGACGUGGUUCAAAGAGGAAAGAAAUGGGGGAAAGUAGUGGGGAAAGUUGUAUCGCAUAAAUCUAGGACGUGGUUCAAAGAGGAAAGGAAGGGGUGAAAGUACUAGUUCAAAAAGGAAAGGAAGGGACAAGGCUGUAGAGUUUGAGCAGGACUAGAUUUGCUACGCUCACAUAGGGAAAGGUGUCUAAAGAUAACAAAACUGGAACCAACACAAAUAUGCUCCUUGGUUGUUUGUUCUUUGUUGCAACAGACUGUGCAUGACCACAGUACAUCGGUAGAUGCACAUGGUGUUGGUGCGUCCACUGUCCCAUGCAACUCAUUAGCUGUUGUUAAUCUAAGGCCCUGUUUGGUUAAAAACUCCCUAGUCCUUACCUGCUUGGUUCCAGGGACUAAACAUGGACUAGAGGUUAUUAAAUGACAUGAUAAAAGACCAUGUUACCCCUAGUAAUAAACUAAUAGAAACAAGGUGCGAUGCGUGGCAGGGGCAACUGUUGGAAAAAGUCCCAAAAAGACUCCCUUGGGGUCUUCUUUGUUUAGUCCCAAAUGCCCACUUUUAGUCCCGAAAAGUCCCUCCUGUUUGGUUUAGAUGUGACUGACACGGAGUUUUUUUAGUCCCUACACCAAAAUGUCCCUGUAAACAAACACCCUCUAAUAAUGCCGCUGGAAAAUUGAUGCAAUGCCACAGUUAAAAGCAAAUUACAUGUUUAACGUAUUUUAUUGUUAAUAUAAUCUCUAUGUUAAUAUUAAUCAAUGCCACUGUUUUAGAAAUGCUACUGUCUUGCUUUCUUUCCCAUUUAGAUAAGGUAGAUGCUUCUUUUUGUUAGCUUCUGUGUCAUCCACCGUUAUUGACCACUAAUUGUUUCCUUUGCACCGCUGUGUAAACAGGGUUAUCUACUUCACCUCGUUGCCAUUGUGACCUUUUGUUGCACUACACAAAACACUUUUGUUUUAAGAGUGUUUUGUGCAGUUCAACCAAAAUGUCACACCGACAAUGUUGCUUGAUUGCUUGAUCUUAGUGGAACUACACAAGAGGAGAUCUUACUUCCUAUCCGUUAAGGCGAAUUUGGUUCAGAUCUUCUUCUUGUGAGUUGUUUGAAUUCCGCACCAUGAGAUGUCAGUACUAGCCUUCUUUCACAUGAUUCUACAGUGUGCUUUCAUAUGUUGUGCUACUUGUACGAUAAUGUUGCUUGAUUUUAGUGAACUGCACAAAUGGAGACAAGACUUCCAAUCUGUAUGUGCACCGUAAUAUCCCAUUGAGGUAAGAUAAGGAUAUUUCACAACUGCUGGCCUGUAUUUUUCCACUUUCAUCGUAAAGUUAAGUUUAGUACUAUAAUUGUGCUCCCUAAUUGACAUGCCAAAUCUUACAUUGAAGGUGAAGCUUGUGUGUUAUUGAACCAAGUGAUGAAGGGGAAGAACAAGCGGAAGAAAAACAAAAAUCAACUCCCGGUGCUGUAAUGAAGCACUGGAAUUGUGAUGACACAAGUAAUGAUAUAGUUUUGCAUCUUAAUUUAUUGCUAUGGCUGGAACGAGCAAUUGUUUUGCCACUGAUUUGAUGCCAUACGUAAUUAUCUCUACUUGUGCAAACAGGGAUCUUCUUUGAAGAUACCAUAUAUUUUAGUGGAACUGCACAAAAAGAUGUUGGAAACAUUAAACUAAUCAAGGAGUAUAUAGUAAGCAUAGCCACCAUAGUAGAUAGCAACAUAUGGUUCCGGAGAAAUGCUUGAUCUGUAUGCUCUACACAACAAGCCUCCUGACAAAGGUUGGUACUCGCCCACUAAUUCAUCCAUAUGAUUGAGCUUUGUCAUCUCUAUUGGCGUUGUGCUACUGUUUAGAUACUGUCAUGAAAAAGUGGUAUUAUCCUUGAGAAGUGCUUCAUCUGUGCUGUUUUAAAUAUUUCCUUUCCUUUUUUUCGAGCAAAUAGGGAUGCUAGGAUUUAGUUGUCCUCUUGUCUUUGCACAAUAGGAUCAUCUUCCUCUGAAGAAGAAUAUGGAGUACGUGAAGUGACUAGUUCCGAUUAUGCCAGGAUGAAGAAGCCCUGUCUAUCUUCUCAUCAGAAGGAGCAGUUGAAGGAUGGUUACAUUACUCCCCACAAGGCCAAACUAACUUCAGCUCACAAGGACUGACAAAUCUCCAUAUUUUUGCUGUGAUGCGCGAGUACAAUGUUGUUCUAGGAUUCUCAUCAGAAGGAGCAGCUGAAGGAUGGUUACAUUACUCCCCACAAGACCAAACUAACUUCAGCUCAGAAGGAUUGACAAAUCUCCAUUUUUUGCUGUGAUGCGCGAGUACAAUGUUGUUCUAGGAUUCUUUCUGGUGAGUUCCAUUUUUCUAAAAGUGUGCUCUACAUGGACCAUGUAGGUGCCUAUUUAAACUAUCAAUUCAUAGUACAUUUUGCUUUAUACUAAUCACUUUUUUUGUAUUUGUGCAAACAGGGGUGAUCAGCUUGAUUUCAAUGGGAACUGCACAAAAUGUUCAUGAAUACAUUAAAUCAUUCAUUUCCACCACAAGAAAGGAGGUGCCGAUAAGUUCAAGGUGUUGCAACAUAUAAGGGCGAAAUCAUACAAGCUAUGUGUGAAUUUGGUUGAUUUUGGUGGAACUGCACAAAAAAAAAACA
rnacentral:lncRNA from 1 species